AAGAAUUUAAGGUUGCAGAUCGAUAGCCAAAAUGCUAAAAAACCUGUUUGAGGUUUAGUUUGAUUGCAAUUUUUAUUUUGUAUAUUUUUUUUCUUGAAUUUUAUAAAUAACUAAAUGCAUUUUAUAUCCAACAAGUAUUCCAUGUCAACAUAGAUUCUAAAAAGAUUGAUGAUAUGACAUGCACCAUGUCAUUUGGUAAGUAAUUUUGGUAUAAAAUUUUGGGGUCCCUAACAGUCUAACACUACUCAUCUCGGUAGGUGGUUUUUAAUGUUUCUUUCAUUUAAUAUAAUGGAUUGACAACCACUCGUUCGAUAAAAACGAAAGCUAUUUUGUUUUGUUUACUUCAAAUAUGACAUGUCUUUUUCAAAACCGCCCAUGGUUUUCCAAUUUGAAAUUUGCAUUUUCCAGACGUCAUGUAAUUUUUGGAAGAGCGCACAUUACUGUUUUUCCUAAAUAUACACAAUCCUUCUUUUUAACUACGAAUUGAUUUUUUUUAUUCGCAUAUUGCCUUUUCAUAAUCAUUUGACAUUUUCGGAUUAUCACAUUUAUUAUUUUCCCAAAACCUUCAUUCUAGAACCUCCCACCAACCCCCGCUCCACCUAUAUAAUGGUCGUAGUCUGAUGAGCUUUGGCGUACUUAAACCAUUCUAUCUAUUUUUCUUCAUAUAUGAAUAUGGUUAACUAAGUUCUUCAGGUCUAUUGGUCCAACACGAGCAAUAGCCUUAGCUUAGUACCCUGAAUUUGCUAUUAUGUGGGGCAAGACCAAGAGUAUAUAUCAAUGCCUUAGUGGAGGUUUUGGUUAUAUUCAUCAUCGAAUAUGUGAUUUACCAUUUACCAAAAAAUAUAUAAAUUUACCUCCAUACCUCUUGUUUUGUCAUGUUUAUAAAUUCUCAUGGUAUUAUAAAUUUCUCAUAAUCACUUGCUUCACGUUAUUUUCAGAAGAAAUACAUGCUAAAGAUGAUGGAAAUCCAUGCUUGUGACUGUAGAUCCUUGAUGCAAGCUAUUAGCUAUGUUUCUUGGCAGGUUCUCCACUAACCAGAAAGUUUGAAGUUGUCUUGAAGUUUGAGAUGUACCCUCUAAGUUAGAUCGAACAUGUUGUAGUUCUUCCACCAUUCAAUCAAUAGCAGUAAAACCACUACUUGAAGGACCAACCCGAAAGAGAAUUACUUUAAGAUGCCAUACAUGGCAUGAUACACCAUGUCAACAAUCCCGAUGUAAUUCUAACACUCAUGAAUGUGAAAAACUAUAAACUUUACAAGUGUAAUUAUCUAUCUUGAAGGGCAUAUCACCCACCACACUCAUAUUUCCUUAGUUAGUCUCAUAGGCAUGGCCUUGGUCAGGAUAUGGAAAGAAGAGUCAAUUUGACCUUAUUCAAUUUUGUAAAAAAAUCUUAUCAAUAUUAAUUACCAAAGUUUUGAUAUUUAGUGAUAAAUAGUCUUAAUUGUUAUCGAACAUUUGGGAGAAAAAAAUGAAAAAUAAGUAUUUAGACUCUCCAAGUAUAUACUUUUGUAAGGUUCAUUUACUUUGAUUUUAUUUUUGGUGGUUCUAGUCAGAUCUUUGAAUUUGCUAUAUAUAUCUCCUUUAAUUUUUGUGAAAAUUUAUAUUCUCUCUUAUCCUCUAAAAAAUUACACGUGUUCCAUCUGAGGAAGAAAGCUUGUUCCUUUUUCCCUCUCAACAAAUUGUGUCUCUAUAUAGUUUCCACAAACUAUAAUGUCUUGGCUUGGUCUUUAUAUAAAUUUAUAAUUACAUUAAUAUCAGGCUUGAGCAUUGAGGGCAUGCCUCCUUCUUGGGACUGGGCUCUUCUGAAAUGGGGUUGUUGUUAAGCUUGUAAGGAUGCUAAGCUAGUUUAAUUUUUCUAUGGUUUGGUUUGGUUUGGUUUGGUUUUUUUUUUUUUUCUUGCAUUUCAUAGUCAUUAUAGAUGGCGGCGUUGGUGACCUCAUUUUGAUUUUUAAUAGGAAUUGCUUAGGCUUUUCUAAAUGGGCUUAAUAGCUGAAAAUGAUGUUUGUACUUAGGUAAUGGUGUUCUUUUGACAACCUCGCAAGUAGGGCUGGGCUUGGGCCCAAACCGGCACGGUAUUUACAGGGACCGAGCCCGGACUGAUUGUUGUAUACUCGGGCCGAUCAUUACUCUUAUGAAACAAGAGACCGGUAAAAGCCCGAACCGGGACAAGCUUUGCAUUUUCCAGAAGUAGGAAUGAGUUCGGCUUCAGUUUUUCACUACACAAGAAUAGAAAGACAUGAGGGAGUAGAAAAAACAGGUGGUUUAAAGUGAUUCAGAUCCCACAAUCAACAUAUUCAAUAACAAAGUUUUCAGGGUCCAAACUGCAUAAUAUUCUCAGUUUCUAACAAAAAUAUAGAUCAUUCUAAUGCACUAAUGUUGUAUGUUUUAAUAUAGUACUCGCAAGUGCACGAACCACUUAUAGAAUAGAAGUGCAAGCACGAGGUCGUUCCCUCUAUGGAUUGAUUAGAACAACUUAUUAUGCCAAUUAUACUACACCUAAUGAAAUAAACACAUUGAUUUUAUGAUUUUGAUGAGUGAAAAUAGAAAACUAAAGUAAUAAAACUGAAAUUAAAGACAAGAGAACAAUGAAAUUUCUAAGAGUUUAAGAACAAAUUAUGAAAAUGCUAAAGCAUUGAAUCCACCACCUAAUAUUUCUACCCUCCUCUCUAGUUGAUAGCAAUUGAACUCCCUAGAUUGCAUGCUAAAGAUUUCCGUACAUAAGCCUUAUUGAUCCCGGACAUAUGCCAAAGUUCUUCUAAACAAUGAAUUUUAACUUAUUGAUCCUGUAUAAAACUCAAGUAAUCAAACUAUAAUCUACUUCACGUUAUGAUCAGGUUCAAGUAAAACAUGUUCAACUCCAUUAAGCACAAAAGAACUAGGAAAUCAUGUAAACAAGAAUAUCGACUAGGAUCAAGCACUUGUAUUUUUAACUUACAACUCUCUAAUCACAAGAUUAAAUAAAUCUUUUGGAACUCUAGAAAACAUCUACUCUCGAUCAAGCCUCAUAUUUUCAAACCAAAUAACUAAUAAACAAAACCUAGGUCUCAUUGAUCCCAAGCAAAGAUUUUGAAUAAAAGUACGAUUAAAACGGUGAUUUUGAGAAUUUAAAAUAGCAAUCCAUGAAUUCAAAAGCAAAUCAACUAAAGAAAUAGAGUAAUCAUACUAGGGGCUUCAUCUCAGCCCAAGCUAGAAGUUUAGAAAUCCAUAGAUAAAGAAAACAUGACUAGAAAUAAAGAUAGCAUGGAAGAAACAAUGGAAGAGAUAAGAACUCAGGUUGAGAGAUGAUGAGGCUCUCUUCUUCUUUUCCUCUGCGUUCCUUGCUGCAUCUCUCUGCUGUAUCUCUCCUCCCUCUUUAACGUGCUUAGGGUUCUCUUUUAUUCUUCUUCAAAUCCCAAUUGAUUUGGGCUUUUUAGUCUCCUUGUCCAAUAUGGAAUAGCUUUCUUCUCUCCAAAUAACACAAGGUUAUUAUUGUCAAUGCAGGUGUAACCUUCCAAAUAUGUUAGCCACGUUCAGCCCCUUUCCUUGUACUAUUAAGAUUGAUGGACUUGGGCUUCACAAAUUGGAAUCAUGAGAAGAAACACAAAAUUCGUCAGAAUCUGCCUCCACGCGCUGCAUCCACUCAAACCUUCAUAAUUUGCUCUAGAAAAAUGCAAAUCCACUUCCGCAAAAUUCCUCAGAAAGCAAGCAUCCGUAGCUUUCCAAUGGUGUAUGGCUCGCCUCCAGAUUCCUUGUGAGCAGGUACAAUUUAAUCCUCAAAGUUAACGCACAGCAGGGCAGUUUCUGGAUCACUUAGCUCCAAAUUCUCUUUUUCUCCAACUUAACCUACAAAACAUAAAAACCAAGUAAAUGACUCACAAUUGACAAGAACUAAGCAUAUAAUCAUGUAUCUAAGAGUAUAAAAAUGUAUGAAAUAUAAAUCUAUCAACUACAUUGGAUUACUUUAUUCAUAACUCAAUAUCAAUUAUGUAUCGAAUGCCUUUUAGAUAUUAGUUCAAAAGAAAAUAAUCAACCCAUAUAACUCUUAGAAUGAAAAGAAAUAAAAACAGUACAAAAAGAGUUUAAAAACAAGAUUGAAUUUUAAUGAAAAUAACAGUGCAGAUAAAGUAUCACACGUAACUUACCAUGUUCAUUAUGAACCCUAAGGAGCUCGUAUCCGAAAUUGUCUUUCACAAGGCACUCAACAACUUGCAUAUUUUUGCGUGGUCCUUUACGAUUUUCGGACUUGGCCAUUAUCCGAAUAGAGCAAACCUCAACCAUAACCACUCCAAGAUUGUCGGUGCGAAUGAGGUCCUCCAUAUUUAUAACGUUGGCCAAAAUAGUCCAAAUUAGACACAUUAAGCACAUUAGGCUCAUCAGACACAUCAGGCAAAUCAGGCCAAUCAGACAAGUCAAUAGUCCCAUAUACGACAAAUAAAUGUCAGAAAACCUUUUGUGGAUUUAAAAAAAAAAAAUUAAAGACCUCAUUAUAUAACGUAUACAAUUCGGCCCGUAAGAGAAUGCUCACAUGUAUUAUGUAUGAGCACAACGAAAAUUUUCAGAAAGGUUAGGAAGUCUCCACUAGUGCUCAUAUUGAGUAUAAACACCAAAAUGCUCUAUAGGUUCAAAUUUCAAAUUUUAGUUGUAAUCAAUUUGUUCUAUGGUGUUUGAUUUUUCAUAAAUCUAUUACUACAUUGCUACGGAAAAUCUAUUUUUAAGAAACAUCUCAUAAUUCACUUACAUCGUCACAAAACUAAGUAGAAAUAGUUAAUUGCAAAAAAUCACAAAAAAAGAGAGGUAGAACUACCUUUAUUUUGGCAUUUCUCUUUUGUUUCUUUUAUUUAUUCCUGCCUUUGGACUUUUUUGUAGGUGCAGUUUCCUGUAUGUGCUGAGGAUUACGAAAAAAAAGCAACUCAGAGUUAGAGUUGCAUCAUCAGCUUAUCAAAUUUUAGUUUAAUACGGCAAGAUUCUAAAACUCACAAAAUUAAGCCUUCAUUUAUUAUUCACAGGUUGAGUAACCUCAGAUGAAUUACGAAAAAUAACUUUCUACAUGUCAUUUUUAGAUCAUCAAUAUUCUACAACCAAAGUUAAAGAAGUAAAGCAACAUUUCAUAUUAAGCAAAUACUGUUACUGCGUCCAAAUAAAGAAUGAAACACAUAAUAUGAUUUACGAGUCCACUAAUAAUGGAUGCAUGUAUCAAAGUGUAGGAGGGUUCCUAAUUGAUAAAGGUCUACAUAAAAUAGUUUCUUGCAGAAAUUCGAGGUUCAUCGAAAAUGGAAAACGGAACAACCACCCCUCUAUACUACUUAUUACAAUCCCAAGUUUGCCAUUUCUGUCACGUGAUUUGAAUCCCCAAGCAUAUUAUUUGUAAUUGUUCGGUCCAGUACACAAAAUGGAGAGAGUGAGAAUAAAACGGGGGUUCCCUACCAAUCAGGAGGGGGGCAUAAGUGGCAGAAGCUUCCGAGAGAGAGGUUAUUUGGGGGGGGACCAAUAACAAAGUCAUUAGGAAUUGGAGUGGCAGUUGGUGCUUUUUGAGAGAGAAAAAGAGGGUGGAAAUGUGGAAGUGAGAGCAAGAAUGAGCUUAUUUUCUAGGCCAAUCUAAGUGUCAGUUUAUGUCCCCCCUACACAAUCUCAUCAUUGUAAUAACCUAUUAUCUCACUUAUGCUUUGCAGAUAAUCUGCUCAUGUUUUGUAACGGUGAUAAAAGUUCGUAUUCUCCAUGAUGCUCUCUUUGAUUUUAAGUCUUUAUCUGGCCUCAGAAGAAUGUUUCUGGCUUAGUUUGGUAUUGAUGUGAGAAAACUCAAUUUAAAAAAAUAAAAAAUAAAAACUCAGUUUUAAAAAAGUAACAUCUAACCUCCUUUUUAAAAUCGUGGUUAUUUAGCUUAAAAAGUUUUAAAUAAGCACAUUAUAAGGUUUUACCAAACAAGAAAUCUAUUCAAAAUGGUGAUUAUAAGUGAUUUUAUGCUUCAAAACUCAAUAUCAAACUGGGCCUAAGAGUAAAAUAUUUCUUGCUGGCAGUGGCGGAUCUAGCAAUUUUUCUCAGCUAAGGCAAGUGUCGAACUAAGUAAUAUAUAGAAAAAAAUAUUAAGACGAAAAAUAACUUAAUUGUAAAUGAGUCGAUCUCCAUAUCAAAACAUCUUAAAAAUCAAUAGAAACCUGAAAUUUAUAUUUAUGAAGAACAUAUCAAAUUGACUAAAUUUAUUGAGUUUAAAUGAGUUAUAGCAUAUAAUGAUGAACUAGUGAAGACGUACUAUGUACUUAAUCGAUUAAUUAAGAACAAAUAGAAGCGUCAGGUUGUUUUUUCUGUAUGAAAGGAUGUCUUUGAACUGCAAUAAAAAAAAUUAAAACGACGCCUGGAAGUAGUGUAUUUUUCUCAGAUUUUGCCCUUUUAUAGCCAUUUUUUCAUUGCUUGCUUACCACCAAACCUACAUCUUUCAAGGUAAAUUAUAAAACUUAGUCUAGCCAGUUGAAUAGACUAGCCUAUGAAUGCAUUCGCCCCUGCUUGCUGGUGUUGAUGGGAACUCAAAUGACACUGUUCUUCAAGUUAUGAACUUUUUUGUAGGAACUUUCGCAAUUCGUUAUUUAGGUAUUCCUCUAAUCACUACUAAAUUGAGAAUUUAGGAUUGUUCUCCAUUGUUUGAUCGAAUUGAAGCUCGUAUAAAACAUUGGGAGAAUAAGGUGCUCUUCUUCGCUUGUCGACUGCAGCUCGUUCAAUCUGUUUUAUCUAGCAUCCAAGUGGACUGGGAUUCUCAUUUGAUCCUUCCUAAAAAAGUUUUAUCCAGCAAGAGUGAAUCGUUAUGUGUACUCAAUGACUGAUCAAUACAAGCGUUAACUCUUUGUUCAAAAAGAAAAACAUAUGGCUUGACGUCCCCUUCUCAAAGCAAAAAAAGUAUUUAAUUUUUAGGAAAAUAAAAGGUAUAUGAGGAGGAGUUUUUCUAUUGAAACAUACAAAUUUACUCACUUAACCUUUUACACCUUUUAUACCUCCUAUGAGAACUUCAAAUACAAAAUUCAUUUAGUGAGGAUAGUAAUGUCACUUAAUGAGUAGGCCAAAACUCUUUGAACGCGUCGUACACGCUUUCGUAAAACCUAAAGUUUUGUUAUGUCUCUAUGGGCUUGUAUGACGGCUCACCUCAUCGACAUGCAUCUCGCCUCGCUAGAGUGUGGUGAGUGCAGCCGGGUGGGUUGUUGUUUUGCUUAUGGCUUCUAUUGGUUUUGGUGCAUCUGUCAGAUGAUGACGACAACAAUGAGGAAUCCUUCUAGGUUGACGGCGCAUUCAUGGAGGGUAGGCGGGGUUUGUAGGUUUUUCGCACGAUUUUUGCUUGUUAUGGCAGAUCUAGAUCGAGUCAUAAUGAUGGUGGAUGGUGUACGAUCGAUAUAGGUGGUGGCGAUUAGGUCGAAAGGUGAGGCGUUAUUUGUUUCAUCCGCGAUCUAAGCGUGUUCUACCCAGUUGUAUGAGGGUUUUGGUGCUAGGGUGGUGCAACUGCGAUGGGAUCCCAGGCCGUGGUAGCAGAGAUGGCAACGGUGUGCAGGCGGCGGUGCAAGGUUAGGCCUUGGUUGUGGGCAGGAGUCUACUCAUUGUUUUUUGGGCCGGAUGUUAAGCUACCCAAUUUCUUAAGGGUCAUUAUGUGUGAAAUAAUUCCUCACCGUUAUUGGGUAGGCGGUAGGCCGAUGUGGACUUGGUCCCGGUAUGCACACUCAAUGUGCCUUGACUGGCCUAGUGAGGUGGUUGUUUGAAGAAUGAUUAAGUCAUAUAAAAUUUGAAGCAAAAAGCCAAAAAAAAAAAAAGACUUGAUUUUAUUUGUAAAGUCGAAAAAUGCAAAAACACUAGCAUAUAAAUCACAUUGGAACAAUUGGCAAUGAAAUAUGUUUGUGUUGAAGGUGACUAGGAUUCGAUGUAAUAUAAUAGCAUUCUUUAAAAACUAUUGCUCACAUCUCAAUUUCAAUCCAACGACUGACACCAAUUAUAGUUCGUUAGAUUGAAAGUUAAGUGUGGCUAUUAGGACCUCCAAAUUUUCUCAGUAUACCUCUUAUUCUCUCUACACCUCCAUUUUACUUUUCAAUAUAAACAUUUUCUCACUAGACCUCAUUUCAAAUUUCUAACAUAACCAUAGUUAUUUAUUGACAUAUAUUUUAAUUAGUUACUUAUUUUAACUCUUAUUCACUCAAUGAACCUCUCCUUUUUUCUUUUUUUUACCUUUUUGUUUUUGAACAUCCAUUAUCCCUACCUUCAUUUUUUUAUAAUUUUUUUCAUGCAAGAAAAUGUUUUAUCAUGAACUAUUAUAUAUAUCUUUUUAACUUUUGUUUUCUCUUUUGUACUUGUUAUUUUUUUAUUUUGAAUAAUUUGAUCUCUAUUUUAUACCUUAUAAUAAAUUAUUUAAUAAAUAUAUAUUUCUAUAAUCAAUAGAUAUAUAUAUAUAUAUAUAUAUAUAUUNNNNNNNNNNNNNNNNNNNNNNNNNNNNNNNNNNNNNNNNNNNNNNNNNNNNNNNNNNNNNNNNNNNNNNNNNNNNNNNNNNNNNNNNNNNNNNNNNNNNNNNNNNNNNNNNNNNNNNNNNNNNNNNNNNNNNNNNNNNNNNNNNNNNNNNNNNNNNNNNNNNNNNNNNNNNNNNNNNNNNNNNNNNNNNNNNNNNNNNNNNNNNNNNNNNNNNNNNNNNNNNNNNNNNNNNNNNNNNNNNNNNNNNNNNNNNNNNNNNNNNNNNNNNNNNNNNNNNNNNNNNNNNNNNNNNNNNNNNNNNNNNNNNNNNNNNNNNNNNNNNNNNNNNNNNNNNNNNNNNNNNNNNNNNNNNNNNNNNNNNNNNNNNNNNNNNNNNNNNNNNNNNNNNNNNNNNNNNNNNNNNNNNNNNNNNNNNNNNNNNNNNNNNNNNNNNNNNNNNNNNNNNNNNNNNNNNNNNNNNNNNNNNNNNNNNNNNNNNNNNNNNNNNNNNNNNNNNNNNNNNNNNNNNNNNNNNNNNNNNNNNNNNNNNNNNNNNNNNNNNNNNNNNNNNNNNNNNNNNNNNNNNNNNNNNNNNNNNNNNNNNNNNNNNNNNNNAACGGUCCAGCUUAUGUCAAACUAAAACCGUUAGAAGGGUCAUUAAAACUAAAUUGAACUUUUGAAAGCCUUAACGAUCACCAAAUCAUAUGAAAUUUUGUAGAGGUGAUCUACUCAUAUAGACCUAAGAUAUAAACGGUGGAGAUGUAAAAUUAUAAUCGGGAAGUUGGUGUAAUGCCCUAUCCCUAUAAAUGGCUUAAAAUAGGGAUCCCUCAUUGGAAGGGCCCUGUAUAUAUAUAUGCUUUAAUAAAAAGAAAUUAGAAAACGAAAAUAUAUAAGGAAAAUAAUAAAGAAUGUAAUCAAUUAUUUAUUGAAUUGGAAAGUCUAGAAAGAAUAAAUAUAAUAUUUUCUUUUGUAUAAUUAUUUGUCCUUAAUAGUCAUUGUGUAUGAGGAUAUAUAUGUCAUUUAAUAAUUCACAAUAAAGUGAGGUCUAGUGAGCAAAUUUGGAAGUCUCAAUAGCCGCACUCUUGAAAGUUUAAUUGCAUUAAACGAUCCAUAUUAAUAUGAAAGUCUGUAUGCUUUAUUUCCUUGCAAAAUGCCAAACACGCAUGCUAAGACUCUUCAAUUUUCUACUCCACUAGAAACCAAAAGGUUGGUUUAGGACACACGGCUUAUGUGUAUUUAUGCAUGGCUGACUUCAGUAUUCCGAGCUUAAGCCAGUAUGGAGACUGGUUUACCUCGGUCAGCUCCACACAGUAAGCAGCGAGAGACCAUAUACAAAUUGCUAACAACCUUUUACUUGUUCACCUCAAUGCCCACCAUCUAGGUUAAUGACAAGAAUAAAGUCAAGCCAUUCGAAACGACAUGUGUGAAUGACAAGAAUAAAGUCAAGCCAUUCGAAACGACAUGUGUAAUUAAUUUCAUUUGUGGGCAUUGAGGUGAGCAAGUAAAAAAAUGGUCGGCAAAUUUGUAUCCGAGAGAGACCAGCUUCUUGACUUGACUACCUAUAUGGACGUGGUGACCUAGAUUGGUAUCCUACCAACAUGUGAUCGAAUGCUCUUAGCAACUUAUCAAAGUUUUUAUUAAUAGGUCACCACAUAGCUUGAUCAAUCAUCCAAUGUCUCGCAUACUUUGAUCGUAUAACCUUAAAUUGUAUUCCAUAGUCUAGCUCUUACCACUUGAUUUUUCAUUUAGUUCCUUAAAAUUUAUCAUGAAAUCCGAGUUAGGUUUUAAACUUAGGUUUCCUCCUCGGUCAUUUGAAGUUUUGAACCUUAAAAAAUCUGAUUUUUAUAAUAAAAAAAUCUGAUAAAAUAAAAAAUAAAAAAAUAAAAAAUAAAAAAGAGAAGAAAGAUGUGCAACGGCUUCGUUUAGGUUGUGACGAAAGAAAAACGGCGUCGCUUAGGAAGGAACAUAACCGCCUCGCUGUUCCUGGAGAAAAGAGACGCUAAUAUAAAGCUUUCCCGAUAAACAAUAGCGCUCUCAUUUUGGCUCCGUUCAGGCAGCUUAUUAGGGUUUUGAUCUUCAAUCUCUUCACCGCGACCCAAAUAUGGCGACGGCGUCAGGUUCGUAUCCUCUCUCUUCUUCCUUCACACAUCUCUCAUAUCAUUACCCUUUACUUUUUAUUUCCAAUUUUUCUUAAUCAUGAAGAAAGACCCAUCCUUUGUGUGGUUUCGUAUGUAAUUGAUCGGUGUGGGAAUUCAAAUAGUAUCAAUUCUUUGUUUAAAUUAGUUAUCUGUGUCGGUCGAAACUGGUUCGAUUUUAGGGUUUUCAGGAGCUGAAUUUGAUAAGUUAGGGGUUUUCUCAGAAAGUGGAGAUUCGAUUGAGUUUUACUAUUAGUAUACUCAAUUCAGUUGAGAAUCGGUUUUAGAAGUUCAAAUUAUGAGUCGAAAUGCUCGAAACCGUAGCUAAAAGGCUUGAAGAGUUUGAGUUUCAUAGUUUUGAUGUAUUAAUUGCUGUUGGUGUGUUGUAGUGGCAUUCAAAUCAAGGGAAGAUCAUCGUAAGCAAAUUGAAUUGGAAGAAGCCCGAAAGGCUGGGCUCGCACCAGCUGAGCUCGAUGAGGAUGGAAAGGAGAUCAAUCCUCAUAUUCCUCAGUAUAUGUCCUCUGCACCUUGGUAUCUCAAUGCUGAAAGACCUGUAAGUUGUUCAUUUUUCGCUUCUGAUGCUAUGUUGUUAGUUUUGACAAGCAAGCCUCGGUGUGAGGUAUGAGCUCGGGUACUGAUACAUGUUAUUUUGUUCUGGCUUUUCGUUUUUGGUUUGAUGCAGAGCUUGAAACAUCAAAGGAAAUGGAAAACAGAUCCAGAUUACACAAAAUCGUGGUACGACAGAGGUGCAAAGAUUGGCCAGGCUGAUAAAUAUAGGAAGGGUGCAUGCCAGAAGUAAGUCUAUGUCUCUCUCUAUAUGUCUAAGUCUUUUGGUUCCAUGGAAUCUAUUUAGAUAAUGCAUAAUUAUUUAAUGGUGGAGCAUUUUGGUGAAUGUCUUGUUUUGUUCAUCACUGGGAAUGCCGUGCAUCCUGUACCCAUACAAGAGUGAUAUUUUUCUUCAUCAUUAUUGUUUUUCCUGAACCGGAGACUAAUCAAUAAUGUCUGUGUUUGCAGUUGUGGAGCUAUGUCACAUGAUGUCAAGUCUUGUAUGGAAAGACCCAGGAAAGUGGGAGCAAAGUAUACAAACAAACACAUUGCUCCUGAUGAGAAGGUAGAGACUUUUGAGCUCGACUAUGAUGGAAAACGGGACCGCUGGAAUGGAUAUGAUGCAUCAUCUUAUGCUCUAGUCAUCGAGAGAUACGAAUCAAGAGAUGAAGCACGAAGGAAAUUCUUAAAAGAACAACAACUUAAAAAAUUGGAGGAGAAAAAUAAUAACCAAAAUGGUGAAGAAGCAGUUAGUGAAGAGGACGAAGAGGAGGCUGAGGACGAGGAUGAUCUGAGGGUGGAUGAAGCCAAGGUUGAUGAGAGCAAACAAAUGGACUUUGCAAAGGUGGAGAAGCGUGUUCGUACAACAGGUGGUGGGAGCACAGGAACUGUCAGGUAAUAGCUUCUUUUGAUGUGAUGUUUUAUCCCAUCUUGUGUUUAAUGGGUGUUAUUGUGUGAACAUAUAACUGCAAGUGAGUAACAAUGUUUUAUCUGCUGGUUUCUGUAUGGUAAAUUAGUAAUGCUAGAAUUAUUCUCAAGGGCCUUAAUAUCAUGUGUAACGUUAUUCAUUGUAUAUAUGUCUACAGGAAUUUGCGUAUUCGUGAGGAUACUGCAAAAUAUCUUUUAAACCUUGACGUCAACUCUGCACAUUAUGAUCCCAAAACCCGUUCCAUGCGUGAGGAUCCUCUUCCAGAUGCUGAUCCAAAUGAGAAAUUUUACGCGGUAGGUGGCUCAGAAAGUUAUUUCAUAUCUAUGGUUGGUUCUUUAGUACUUCAUGUUUUACUGAUUUGACUGGUUUCUGUAUUACAGGGUGAUAACAGAUAUAGAAAUAGUGGUCAAGCUAUGGAGUUCAAGCAGUUGAACAUUCAUGCCUGGGAAGCAUUUGACAAGGGACAAGACAUUCACAUGCAAGCAGCCCCAUCCCAGGCUGAAUUACUGUAUAAGAACUAUAAGGUAAUUAAGGAGAAUUUGAAGUCGCACACAAAGGAGACCAUUUUAGAGAAGUAUGGCAACGCAGCUAGUGAAGAAGCGAUUCCUAGGGAGCUUUUACUGGGACAAAGUGAAAGAGAAGUCGAAUAUGAUCGUGCUGGAAGGAUUAUCAAAGGACAGGUAAAUUAUUUACAUCUACUGUUUGUUCAUGAUACGAUAUAGGGUUUUUGUUUUGUCUCAUUAUGGAACUCAAGGAGCACUAAUGUAACUGUCAGAGUCAAACGAAAUAGGUAUCUGAUCAAUCUGUCUUUGACUGGUACAGGAAACCACACUUCCCAGAAGCAAGUAUGAAGAAGAUGUUUAUAUCAACAACCACACCUGUGUAUGGGGUUCAUGGUGGAAGGAUCAUCAAUGGGGAUACAGAUGUUGUCAGCAGUUUACUCGAAACAGCUAUUGCACAGGUGCUGCUGGAAUAGAGGCUGCCGAGGCUGCAACUGAUCUGAUGAAGGCUAACAUUGCUCGUAAAGAGGCUGUUGGAGAAAUGCCUCCUCCUGCGGAGGAGAAAAGACCUGCCACUUGGGGAACUGACAUCCCAGAAGAUCUGGUUUUAGAUGAGAAAUUACUUGCUGAAGCUCUUAAAAAAGAGGAUGCAAGAAGGAAAGAAGAGAGAGAUGAGAGAAAACGCAAAUACAAUGUCAGAUGGAAUGAUGACGUUACUGCUGAGGAUAUGGAGGCAUACAGGAUGAAGAAAGUUCACCAUGAUGAUCCAAUGAAGGAGUUUCUGAACUGAUUUUCAUAUAUCAUAUAAUCGUGGUGAAGCUUAACUACUACCUGAAUCAGACCUGCUCAUUUCAGUCAGAUCAUUUCUUGGAUCAGUUGGGAUCCUGAUUAGGAGCCAUCUGAUAUGAGAAGCUCCGAAUGGGAUUUCUUAAGCAAAUCUCUUAAAAGUGUGAGGUGUGAUUACUGUUAAGCUAAAUGCUGAGGAGUUGGCAGUUAUGUUGCUGUUAAAGAGCGUGGUGGUAGGCUGUGCUCACUUCAAUUGUUGUUUUAACUUUAGUGGCAUGAACGAGUUAUGUAAUGGAAUUACUUUGGGUUUAAGUAUUAUGUUCAUGUUCUUGGUCCUGCCAGGACAUGUUUAUCUUGAAUAAAUUGUUGGAAGCAGAAACCCGAAGAGUUUUUCUUUUGGUCUUUGGUUAUUCUAAUGGAUUCCAACGGCCAUAUCGAACUAUAAACUGGGCAAAAAGUUGCCAGCUUAAAAGAGUUGAAGAAUCUGAUUUUGUACAUGAAAUCCCAUAUCAGCUUAAAGAAUCUGAUUGCAAAUGGAAUUGGCUUUAUUUACACCCUAUACAGGAUCAACUGUAAUAAUUCAAGCUGUUCUUCAUUACAAGCAAUUCACUAUAAAUGGCAACGGGCCAACGUCUCCUGGUCCUUCAUUUCUGCCCUGAACCGAGCUAUAAACUCCUCAGCUCUUCUAUCGAUUCCAUCCAUUUGGGGGGAGGCAAUUCCCAGCGACUCCCACAUAUCAUCUGCAGCACUAGUCACUCCGUCAGACUCGUUAUUCUCACUAGCUGCAGAUGGAGAUUGCUUGCUUGCCACAGAGCGAUUAGCAAUAGGCUUGAUCACACACUUUGCUUCUGGAGUUUUCUGGUAUUGACAACGCUCAGCAACCAGCUCGGAGACAGCAGGCUCUUUAAAGAGCUUGUCAACAUACACAUGAGCAUGCCGGCUUUGGAGCAGGCUGCGGCAAUUAUGAUGAAAGCGCAGCGAAAAGCGUGGUUUGUGCUGCAACCGUAGCUGGAGAAACUUGUAGGGUCGAACGCGAAUAGAGAUUGUAGUGGAGGGCUUGACUCGAUUUCUUGGUUUGUUGGUGGCUUUGCGUUUGUAGAGCUUGCUGUGUAGUUUGGAAGUGAAGCUCUUCCAAGCCUUUCUGGCUGGUGGAAGCCUCAGCCUCAAGCAAGACAUGAAUGGGAUGCUGAGACGCUGUGUUAAGGUGCUUCUUAUAUAAUAGGCUAAGCUAGUAGAUUAUAUUCCUUCAUCUUUUGGAUUUUGGAUUGGUUUUACAUGGAUUAGUAGCUUACUUCUUAAGCCACGCGCUUCACUUUACAGAAACUGAGAGAACAAAAAGGCAUCACGAUUCUAGAAUCCAAGUUGCAACUUUCUCAGCUUGUACAUGUACUCGAUUCGAUUCUGAAAGCCAAUAUCAACCCCAUGGCCACCUAUUUCAUGAAAAAUACGCAUGAUUUCAAUCGUUUUGCUGAGAUGUGUAUGUCUUUUUCUUCCUAUAUGCAUGGGUGAAGUAUACCCGGGAAAAAAAAAAUCCAAGGAUAAGAUCAGUAUAUGAGCAUCUCCUAAAUUAAGUUUCGGAAAUUUUACCUCAUGGUAUGAAUGGAUGCUGUUGCUUUCUUAUUGCAAAAUUUUUCUAGUGUAGUACAAUUGUAGACUGCAUCUAACUUUCUUUUCCUGCAACUUGUAAAUAUGCCUCUGUCACGUAGUUGGAAGAAAACACAGCGAGAAAUGGAGAUAGAUUCUUCCAUUNNNNNNNNNNNNNNNNNNNNUCUAGUAUCUAGAUAAUAUUGUGUAGAUCAUCUCUGCAAAAUUUCAGCCAAUUUGGUAAUCGUUAAGGCCUUCAAACUCAAGUUUUUCUGGUAUGAACACAACCGGACAGAAUUCAGUCCGUCCAUUUGUUUUUCGAGUUUAAAGGCCUUAAUGAUCACCAAAUUGGCUGAAAUUUUACAAAGAUGAUCUACACAAUAUUAUCUAGAUACUAGACGGUGGAAAUAAAAAAAUUCGAUCUAAAAGUUGUGCAAAAAUAGAAAUCCGCACCAAAAUAUUCGUACGGACAUCCGCAGCUGAGAAAAUCCAUAUAUAUAUAUAUAUAUAUAUUGUCCGAGAGAGUAGAAAAUUGACCCUCAUUCUAGAGUGUGCAGUAACAAAGAAUUUGUAUUGAUAAUAUUAUUUGCUCAGAAUCUGUCACUCCCAAAAAGGAAAUUUGGAGGGAUUUUGAUUUGCUUAUGCUCUCAGUAAAGAACUGCAUUGAAUUGAUCAUACUAAAAUUAAUAUACUACAAAAUUUCCUGAUACAACAUCCACAUCGGUUAUGAUCAGAGCUUAUGUGAAUAACUAUAUAAGUGACAGCAUUCUAAAUUGUUGAAUCUCUCUUACUCUCCAUAUUGGGAAAAGAGCACCUUCAGGAAGUUCUUCAGGAUCCCAAGGUUGCAUGGCCCAGCCAUAGAUCACAGUCUGGAUCGUAUCCUAAUGAAACAAUUCGAUUUCACAAAACAUGAGCUUUUACAUAUAAAAUUUACAACUCGUAUGCUGAAGAAAGAAUACAUGUUCUUAUAGAGAAGACUGAUUUGAAGAUGCACCCACAAAGUAUCGCUUAAGGUCAAACCCACUAAACCAAACUAAAUCCUUUAGGAGUAAAUCAAACUUUACUGUUCUGAAUAGAGAUUAAACCAAGUCAUCAGACGUCUCCACCGACAACGGAUAGACUGAAGAUUCAGAUGGCUUGCCAUUGCUCAAAUUAGGGAAAAUUAGCACUUAAGUAUAUGAAUAUUAUUUUUUACCUGGCUGCCAUCUGUUAUUGCUCCAUUUUUAUCACGCACACAAUAGAUUUGCUGUGUUUGGAACUGCAACAAGUUUGUGAAAAACAGCCGUUACUACCAGACUAUCAGCUUGUGUACAACACUUGCAAUUGAGGAAAUAUUUGAAAAUACCUACCCGGACAAUGAUUACAGGAGACUCUCCAAUCAGUUUGGUUUCUACGACUUGCACAUCAGAUAUAUGUAGAAUCUGCCCUUCCAAAAGACAACCAUAUAUUAGUAACAUGAUGAUGAUAUAUCCAUGCCAAAUAGCAUGACCUGAAAAGGCUUCCCUCACUCAUUUCAUAAAAACAGAAGGUAGAAAAAAUCUGCUCAACCUUAAUCAGCUAAGUAGAACAUACAUUACAAAAAAAAGAAAAAAAAAAAGUAAGAACAUGCAUUGUUAUUUAGUAACAGUUUGCAUGAUAGAAAAUGAUAUGGCUACCGUAGUGAAUGUCUAUUGACAUUCAAAAUAAAAUAAUAUCGGUACUAUGUCGAAGUGAGUCAACUGGAAAGGAGCUUAGUUAAGACCCUCGCCAAAUCACACACAUUGAUUAACUAUUAUUCAUAGUUUAGCAUGAGCAGAGGCUUAUAUGGAUUAAUAAUUUUUUGAUGACAUAUAUUGAAUAUCAACUCCUUAAGUUAAUACCUCCAACUUCACAUCUCAAUCUUUAUUAGAUGGCUAGCCUUCAGAAUCAAAUAUCAAUGCGCUAUAGAUCAACAGUGAAAGACAGAAAUAUAAGCACGUGUUAUUAUAAUUUUGCUAACCUGAAUGCGACAAAAAUUGGCAUGGAAAUACUAACAUCUUUAUGGAAGAAGCAAAAUUUCCUACCUUGUUAUCAAAAAAGAUAUCAUGGCUUUGAUAAGCCUGACGCUCGGCUUUACACCGCUCAAUCACCUCAUUAGCACAGUACUUCUUCAAUGUUUCAAUAUCUCCCUGUUGAUAAAAGUGAAGGUGAGAAUUUAUAUCACUUUGAUGAGGAUUAAACCAUGAGAAAGACAAAUAAAAAUGUGAAGCUACAAAUCGAGCAUUUCUAACCUUCAUGUAAGCAUUUAACACAGGUUUGACCGCAUUCUGAACUUCUUCCACAAAAUCUGGUAAAGAGAAAGAUCUGAUCCACCCAAAAUGUUACAAUGGGAAAAAUAAGUUAGUAAAGUAAUCAAAUUAUAAGAUGAAUAUGACAAGGGAAACGUCACAAUGGUCAUACGGAUCUCGGGCAUGGAUCUCCUUGAUUGAUGCUGCAGCAUUUGUUUCUUGAAAAAUACUUUCAUUGAUACUGCAAAAGACAGGAUGGUUAAACAAAGCAAUCAUCUAUUUUGGGGGGAAAUUAACUCAUAAGUACUGAGCAGAAAAGCAAAUGAGUUUUAGAAGCAUACUCCUGAAUUUUGUGAACAAUUGGGCUAUCAGAAUUUUCCCAGCGUUCCUUCAUGUCAUCAAUGAUCUGCCAAUUCCAACAAGGAUAAAUGAAACAGUAUACCAAUAGAUGAAGUACAAACAAUACUACUUGGGACAUAGCAUGAAUGAAACAAUAGUUGAAGCAAGCUAUCAAGUUCCCUCUUCUAUUAAUAUUAAUAAUAAAAAAAGAAGCAGUUUUCCACUAUUUCUCUCACACAUAACAUGUAAUUGUGUCAUCCUACCCGCUUUAAUACAAAUGAUGGCAUCCAUAACAGCAUUGCAUUACAAAAAAUAGAAAUAAUAAAUGAUACAAAAUAAUUGUUAUCUUCUGACCAAACUAGAAUUGAAAGAUGAGAAAGAACAUUUGAAUUGCAACAUUAUACCUCUUCGCCUUUUAUUUUAACAGGUUCACUUAUCCCACUGAUAUGCUUGAAUAGAGGAUUCCCUUGCAUCUAUGUCAGAAAGAAAAAUAAAAGUAUUUCGCAAAUGAGAAGAGGCAAUAAGAUAGAUCUUCUUCGUAAUACUUUGUGUAAGCAUAAAAACUUACCUUCAUUUUGAAAGCCUCCCACUUUUUGCUCCAAGGAGAUUGUUUGGUGGGUACAAUAGCAAUGUCACUUGUUGCACUUCUCUCAACUCGUGGGAUGGAAGAAGGAUCAAACCCUAGAUGCUUUUUCCUACUUUGACUACCAUUUAACUCAUCCUUUACAAUUUCAUAUCCUCUUUUGGCCAUGUCAACAAACUUGGCUUCCUUGAAUCUAUUCAAGACAGAGGAAACAUUUGAUGAAGAGACCUUUGACCUAAAUUUUCCAAAUAAUGUUUCUGCAGUAUCACUAGCCCCUGAGUGCUGGUGUUUAUCUUCAGUGGAUGAGGCCUUGCUUCCACCUUUCUCAUCAGCAACAUGGUCAGCUGAAGCACGAGAAGGCCCUGAAGCCUGCUCUUUCCCUAUUCCAAAAGAUUCUUUGACCUGAAUUGGAAUAACAAAGAUACACAGAAAAAUGUCAACCAAUCAAAGUAUCUAAUAGUACAUGGUAGAAGGUAAAAAUUGAAACAACCAAGCGGACCUCUUCUGUGGCAGCCGAGAACUUCUCUUUUACAUUUGCUGAGACCUGUACACAUAAUUGUCAGAUGAAAACAUAAAUAUCAGAACAGACGCCAGAUCUUAUAUUCACAAACUAUGACCAGUUGCCAAAGUGGCAAUAACAGCUGGUGCACAGCAGGAGAAUGCAGCCACACAACUGCACAUAAAUCUAAAUUCUAACAAAAAAAAAUAUAUAUGUCCAUCUAGAAAAUUGGAGCCAUUGCAAGAGUUAUUUUAUAUAUAUUAAUACAUAUAAGGGCAUCACAGUUUUUACAAGCGACACAUUCUGCCACUAAGAAAAUCCUAUGUCCACAAACUCACAAACUUUCCAUAUUUUAGAAUUCUGUGAAGUGGUACCUUCUUUGCUGUUGCUUCAGCCUCCGUCCAAGCACCAUCCACCUGCUUGUAUAGCUGCUCCGUUGUCUGCUUUGUUCUGCAUUUGUGAUUUCAUCAUCUCAGAGCCGCCAUGGGGUAGUGCCCACCAGCCUUGACAUACAAGGGUAUGUCUCAGCCUAUAAGCUAAAAACUUUUAAAAUUUCUUAUGGCAAUAAGUCAUUAUAUCACAUAAUUACCUAACUUUCAGAUCUUCUUUCACUCCCUUGAGCUCUUCCACUUGCUUCUUCAGCUCCUUGACCGUCUUUUUAAAAUGUGGAUUCCUGCAGCCAGAGACAAUAUACUGAGUUUAAUGUUGUAACCUGUAUGCAAACAUACCACAAUCACCAAAUGUCAUAAACAAACUCAUGAUCAGAAAAAAAAAUCCCGCACCGGUCAGAAGUUUGGAAAACAAACAGGAAAAUUCACAAACUUUUACUUCACACUCGACUGGGGACUCAAGCUAUUAAUCCUAACAAGUAAAAACAAUCAGAAUACCAGAAUUUACUCAAAAAAAGUUGUCAGCUUCAGGCUGCCCAACAUUAUAUACCAAUCUAAUUCGCCAUAAAAUACCGUUUAGCUUAACUACAGACACCCAAAUCAACAUUACAAAUGCAAAAUAGAUUGCGAGAGAGAGAAGUACUUAUUGGUUUCCUCCUUGACCUGCUUGGAAAACUCAUUGAAGACACUGAAUCGACGAUUCCCGGAAUACCCAUUUGCCGAAAGCAAUCGAAUAUUCGUGCCUGAAGCCUAUCACCACAAAACAAACAUGAGAAUCAAAUCAAAGUUUCAAUCUUUGAUUGGCAAACUUGUUGAGAUGACCAAUACCUGUUGUUGAGACCGAAGAACAAGGGAUUGUCUGUGGAGGAACAAAUCUCGAACAAGCUUUCUACCAGCCAUGAUUGUUGAUUCAACUCUUUAGUGGGGUUCCAUAUAAAUAAGAGUAGCUCACUUUUAAAUUUGAAUAAGAACAAAAAAAGAGGAAGAAGAGAGCCGAGAGAUUUCGACGGCAAAGGAGUUUUGUUGUCCCGGACGAGUGUGGGAAUUAAUAUCGAGUUUCCAAACUUGGGAAGAAAGAAAUAAGGGAACGUGUGCUUCACAGUUGCAAAACCCCGAAAAAGGCCUUUUAACACCAGACGCUAGGGUUUAUGGUUUUCGAAGGUUCAUCAGUCAGAAACACUAGGGGUUCAAACAGCCCAAAAGGCCCAAGUGCCUAACACUAAUGGUUAUUGUUUUGUUUUUGGUAACUGUCCGGGUGCUGUUUGUACUUUGACUACUUUCUACAUACCCACAUUAAGUUCUUCCCAUGUCUAACAACCAUAUAACUCGAGGAGAGGCUUUCUUUGUGUGAUGACUGAUGAGUGAUUGAGUAAUCUGGGAACCAACCUUCUCUGGGAAAUUUGGGAAUAGAAAAAUUACUUUGGGUUACUUUCAUUAAAUGUUUACCUUUUGUUUGUUUUUACUACGUUUGACUCUUUUUAUUUUUUUACAUUUCUCUUAACUUUUUUUUUUUUAAAUUUAUUAAUAACUCACACACCCUACCUAUGUUUAGUGAGAUUUAAACUCAUGACCUCAAAAUUGUUAGUUAAACAUCUUAACUAACCAAGUCAUGGCUCACCGACACAACUCUCUUAACUAACAAUGUUAGUAUCAAUGUUAGUGCAUUUUAAAGACUUAGAUCAAAUGAACAGCUUAGAUUAUAUUAUAACUAGGGGUUCAUUUGUACUUGAGUGCGACUGUUAAGACUUCUGAAUUUGUUCACUAGACCUCAUUCUAUUGUGAAUUAUUAAAUGACAUAUACAUCCUCAUACACAAUGACUAUUAAAGACAAUAAUUAUACAAAAGAAAAUAUUAUAUUUAUUCUCUUUAGACUUUACAAUUCAAUAAUAAUUGAUUUCAUUCUUUAUUAUUUUCCUUAUAUAUUUUUGUUUUCCAAUUUCUUUUUAUUAAAGCAUAUAUAUAGUUUAUAAGAACUAAAAAAAUAAUCAAUAUUGAUCAUGUAACAUAAAAUUUUGUAUUAUCAUACAUGUUCAACGCAUAUACUUGCAAGGUGCAUAAAUAUUUUUGUAAAAAGAAUAAAUUAAUAUCUAUCGAUUAUAGAAAAUAUAUAUUUAUUGAAAUAAUUUAUUAUGAGGUACAAAAUAGAGAUCAAAUUAGAAAAUUUUUAUUAACACAUCACUAGUUACUAGAUACACAUUUCAUUCUUAACACACCACCUAUUGACUUUAUUUUUUUAACAUUUUACUAGAUACAUAUACCUAACCUUCCUACAAUACCCUUAUUUAAAAUACAUCACUUAUUCACUAAAUACACAAUCCAUUCACUAAAUACACAGAUUUUUCUAGAUCUGCUACUCAAUUUAUUUAAAAAAAGAAAAAGAAAAAAAAGAGGAGUAUAUUAUAUAAAGCAUCAUCCCAAGUUCUAGUUUGGUGUUCAGCUUGAACGACCUAGCAUGUGUGAACAGUAAAAUCUAAAUUUCAAACUUCAAUUUAUACUAUCGAUACUAAAACUUUGAUCAUUUAAUAUUUGCUAAAUUAAUAACCUCGAUUAAAUAAUAUUUUUUGCCAGCCUCGAAAUAAAGAAUUAGCAAAAUUGACGUCAAUAAAUUAACAAUCUCAAUUAAAUAAUAUUUUUUCCCGGUUCCGACGUUAUUAAUUUAUAGAGGUUUAAAAUAUAGUGUUUGGUAUAUUCACAUACGUUGUUCUCAUAUAGAACAAGAAAACUUUUAAGUGGGAUAUUUAUUUCAAUAAGUCUUCUUUAAUUACUUUUGAUAUGAAUAUCUCUUUUGGUAAUUUUAUGUACCUACAAAGUUUUAUAUAAUUUGUAUAAAAAAAGAGGAGUGCGGCUAUUGGGACCUCCAAAUUUGCUCAAUAUACCUCUUAUGCUCUUUACACCUUCUUUUUAAUUUUAACUAUAAGCAUUUACUCACUAGACCUCCUUUUAAAUUCCUAACAUAACCUUAGUAUGUUAUUCACAUAUAUCUUGAUAAUUUACUCAUUAUACAUCUUAUUUAUUCUCUAGACCUCUCAUUAUUUUAAUUUUUUUCUUUUUGCAUGCUAUCAUCGAGACCUCUAUUCCUUGAUUUUUUUUUCGUUCAAACCUCUUUCACGACCUCAAUUCCUUGAUAUUUUUUAUUUCCCAUAGAAUGUCACCAAACCUCCAUUAUUUGAUCAAUUUGUAAGAAAAAAAUUUCAAUGACGUCAAUUUUUCUCUUAAAAAUCAAAUAAUACAAAGUAUUGGGUUUCAAAAACUUAUAUUUAUCAGCCCAGUACCGUCUCUCCUUAAAAAUGAGAGGUCGUGAGUUCGACUCAUAACAGACUCGUUAUAGCAUAUUGGUUGUUUAUCUGAUAAAAAAAAACUUAUAUUUACCAACAAGAAAAUAUUCCAACAUAAAUUAGCUUUUCUUUUUUUAUUUUACUUGUGCUAAACAACAAUCAAGGAUAACAAUUGUAUACUAUGUAUGUUCUUUUUUUCCCUCUAUUUUAUGUACAUUAAAUUAUUUCAAUAGUUAUUUAAUCUUUCAUCAUCGAUUUGUUUUAUAUACCUUCACCAUGUAUAUAUAUGCUUUCAACAUGUAUGAUAAUAGAAAAUUUUAUGUCACACGGUCGAUAUUGAUCAUAGUUCUAGCUCUAAUUAAAUAUAUAAUAUGUAGUAAAAUUUAGAAAAUAGUAAAUUAGAAACUAAAAAUAUAUAAAGAAAAUAAUAAAGAAUACAAUCAAUUAAUUAUCGAAUUGGAAAGUCUAGAGAGAAUAAAUAUACUUAUUUUUAUAUGAUUAUUGUCCUUAAUAGUCAUUACGUAAUAAGAGAUAAUUGUCAUUCAAUAACUCAUAACAAAGGGAGGUCAAGUGAGCAAAUUUGGAGGUCCCAAUAGCCGCACUCAAAAAAGAGAUGUGUAUAUAGCAUUUAGAUAUGUGUUAAUAAAAUUUCUCAUCAAAUUAUUCAAAAGAAAAAAAAUGUAGAAAAAAAUAACACAUACAAAAGAGAAAAACAAUUAAAAAGAUAUAUAGAAUAAUUCAUAAUAGAACAUUUUCUUGCAUGAAAAAAAAUAAUCAAAAAAUGAAGGUAGGGAUAAUGGAUGUUGAAAAACAAGGGAAAAAAAAACAAAACAAAGAAUGAGAGGUCUAUUGAGUGAAUAAGAGGUAAUUAAUUGAUUGAAAUAUAUGUUAAUAAAUAACUAUGAUUAUGUUAGGAAUUUGAAAUAAGGUAUAGUGAGCAAAUGUUUAUAUUGAAAAAUAAAAAGGAGGUGUAGAGAGAAUAAGAGGUAUAGUGAUCCAAUUUGGAGGUUCUAAUAGCCACACUAUUUGUACUUUGGGGCAUACAAGAACUUUCGACCCACAUUUACAUGUCCAUUUAGACACAAUUACAUGUCCGGGUGGUAUAUAAUGUCCAGAUUGCUUAACGAGUAAACAGCCCGACAUCAACAUAUUGGCCGACUGGUUGGAUAAUGGGUUAGGCAUGAGACAGGAUGAGACACAAUGAGACGGGAUUUGGCUAAUCCUGCAGCUCGUUCCUGACACACGUGGGACGGGAUCGAGACGAGAUCAGAACGGACCUUACAUUUUUCAAAUUUGAUUCUGCCCAAUCCUGGUCUUAGACGAGAUCAGGACGGGACAAGCCCAAUCCCAAAACUGAAAAAAAAAAAUCCUAAUUACCAUGUUAAGUUUGAUGUAAGAAUCCAAUAUCCCAAAAUCCUAGUAACCUAAUUCUACAUCAGGAACACAACUACAUAUGUACAUAACAUCCAUGAUGUCUAUGAUAGGAAUCCAAUAUCCAAUACAUCAUUAUAGUUUAGUCACAAUAUACUUGAUUUGAGACAAAUAAGGUCAAAGUUAAACUUUUAACAAUAUCAGUGAUAUGAUUCAAAGUUUAAACUUUUGAGCACUCAAAAUUUUAGUCCAAGAUAUCCAAAAAGUGACUUCGUCUUGGAGCAUAUUCAACAACUUUCUCAUAAAUAAAACCUCAAGGAUAAUAUCCCUAGCAUUGCUAAAAGUGAGAGAAAAAAAUGCUCUCUCUAUGCCCUCUCCUUCGAGAGAUUUCUCGACGGCAACCAGUUCUGACUGGUACUGGCUUUGUAUCUUCGAUUGUGAGAAGGAUCUCUUCCUCUUUCUCUCGUCAAAUCUGUGGGGGUGCUCGUUGGUCCUCCCUCUAUUCAAGUUUCAAUGAUUUCUCUUCUCCUUCUGUUGGGAAGACUGAUGGUGGCGCCGAUUCUUUCUUCGUGAAUUGGAUCUGGGGUUGCUUUGGACAGGAGAUGAUGUCAAUGUAUGUGGCAUCUGAGGGUGUUGGAGUGCUUGAUGAUGGUUGGAAGUAUGUCUUUCUUUUUGCUUUCAAGGUGAGAGUCGCUGAGAUCGAUGCAACGGUGGGCAAGCCUUGUGUGGUGGAUCAAGAUGGGAACUACUCGACGAUGUUGUGGGACAACGACGCAUGUAUUGUUGCCAACGGUGAAUGGAAACCUGGAGAUCCCUUUCUCCCUCCUCACAUCGUCACCAUUGAUGUUGGCGAGGUGUUAGGAGGGCGACUUUAUCUCUCUGGUUUGGCCGAUGAGGGUGGGUCUCACAAUGGAUCGGCAAUGGCGGCGGCUCAUGGGAGUGGUGUCGACGGCGCUGCAGGCUGCAUGAUGACUGCUAGGGUUUCCUUCAAGGCCAUAUUGGCUGGGUUUUGUUUGGCUUGAGUAUUUAUUUUGUUUUUUUAAGUUAUUUCUUUUUUAGGUUCAUAUUUCACGAAAAGAUAUUGCGCAUACAUUUGAUUAUGUUACCUGGAGCGAGAGAGAUCGUAAAGAAAAUAGAGACUUGGUGGUCCUUUAAUUAGGGUUUAUAUUUUAUUAGCCGGGCUCUAUAAUUUCUUUGUUUUAGGCUUCAUACAAAAAGAUGGGUGUACUAGGAGAUUACUAGUAUAGUUUGCUCUUUUUUGGGUAGAUUUGUAGUAAUUUCUACGGAACGGUUCAAUCUGUCGCCCUUACUGAGAGGAAUUGUUUUUGUACUAUUUGCUGAGCUAAUAUAGGAUGACCUCUUUUGAUUAAAAAUAAAAAACAACUUUCUCAUUAUUUUUCUAAAAUGGGAAAACAUAUGUUUUAUUUUUCUCAACUUAUGUUGCGAAGCAUAAAUUCUCGAACGUCAUUCAAUAUUCUUCUCUAAUCCUUUUUUUUUCUCUGAAAAGAUCUAAUCCUUUUUUUGUGGAUGUGAUUUUUCUAGCACGGUGUUCCUCCUUGUAGCUGUAGUUAUCUUCAAUAACUUCAUUGUGGCACAAAGAUGACCAAAUCUCGAAAUAGCUCUCUAGCAAGUGCAAUACUGCAAUUGAGGUAACCCAAUAAGGACUUUUUUACAAUAUAUAUGUAUAUAUCAUACAUCAAACCAUGAAUUAUCCGAUCGUUUUAAAUUUUAAAUUACUAAUCGGACGAUUCACGAUAUGUUAUACAAAUAUGUAUAGAAACCGAACUCAUGUAAUAAACUUCCCUUUCUCUUUUGGAAGGCUUUUUCAUUUGGAAAACAUCACUGUCACACAAAAUCGAAUGAAGAUAUAUAUAAUAUAAUUAUAUUCCACAAGCCAUGAGGCUCACCACCAAACCUGAACACAAAGGUCCUGUCUCCAUCGACCGAUUACAAAAAUACUGGUAAACAACAAAGAGCAUUGUUUGAUUCAACUGUUGAACUAGAACCCAUCAGUUUGAACAUUACAGACCAACAAAGAUCGAACAGAGCUAGCCAGCUAAGAAUGAAGUAUUCUAUCAGUAUCAGAACCACAGCUAGCUCCCAAUCCAAGACUAGUGGAGAUCACAAGCCCGAUUGGCCUGAAAGAAAACCUGGGCCUGACGGGCCGCCGCCCUCUCCGACACCAAGCCCUGAAUGACCCUCGUCUUCACCUCCCACGCCGUGUACGGGAACCCUUUCCUGGCGUACGAGUUGAUCAGCGCCGCGCUCGCCUCCUUGAGCAGCCUAGGGAACACGUUCUCAUCGUCGUUCCUGGCCGUCGCUUCCAUCAGCGUCAGAUCGGAUCUGUAACGUUCGUAGGCUCUGGACCCGAACACCUUGGACACCGUCGAGGUCUGCGGGACCAUCCUCGGCCAUGACUCCACUCUGCUGCCCCAGUAGUCCGGCGUGCACCGCCCAGUGGUUCGAGUGAAGAGAAAGCCUGGCCUGGCUGUUGCGGUUGUAGCUAGAAGAAGAAGAAGAAGAGUGAGGUGAGUCAGUUGAGAAGGACGAGCCAUGGUGGUGAUGUGAAACUGAGAUUUGGUUAACUGGGGACCGGUUGGGAUCUGAGAAUGUUUUCAAACUUGGGUGUUUAACUGGACUCUCACGGUCUCACCCACCAUGUCUUCUCGUGUUUUCAUGCACGUGGGGGCUCUGGUUCGGUUCUCGAUACAAGUCGUUUGGACUAGAUUGCCCCUGGUUUUUUACCCGUUCGACGCAAAAGCGGAGGGUUAUGUGGUCUUUUCGAGAAAAGAGGCUCCUAAAGAGAGUUUAGGAACUUGGAGAUGGUGGUUGGUUCUUGGUUUCAUGGAGAUGGAGUUUUGAAUGGAGAGAAAGACACGACAAGUGAGGAAGGUUCGUACUUACGUGGCUUCUUCAAAGGGGAAAGUCCGAUGGACUGUGUUCUAUCUUGGGGCUUGGGUAAUUUUGAUUCCUAAUUAGAUAUUUAGAUUUACUUUUGGUUGUUGUGGGUAAAUUUUGUUGGUGAUCACCUAACAAAUUAACAUGUAUACUUGUGUAGACAGUAUAGGUAAAGAUCAGCUUUUUUCACUCCCCUUUUCUUUUUGAAUAGAAAGAUCAGAUUUUUAACACUGAGGUAGUGUAAUUUCAUAGAGUUUAAACUGCAACAUGACAGUAACUUAUACAAUUUCAUAGUUGAGUUGAUUUGAUGAAUGAUAAAGCGAAAUAAAUGUGUUCCUAAUAUUCAACCCCCAUAGUAAGUUGUGCAGUGGCAUUGAGGCGAUCAAGUUGCUUAACUGGACCCAACUACUUCAGUCACAUUUGCAGAAUUGCAGUUUGCUAUUGAUAUAAAAUGCUCAUAUUAUCUCUUAUCUUUGAGAAGCCUCAAACAAAAAGCGUCUGUAGCUCAGUGGAUAGAGCGUCUGUUUCCUAAGCAGAAAGUCGUAGGUUCGACCCCUACCUGACGCGAUUGAAUGUUUUCAUUUUUCUCAAUUUUUUUGUUCACAAUUUUCUUUUCAUUUUGGAGAUCAAACCUCAUUUUGAAGAUCAAACCUACUUGCAAGGGAAGCUGCACUACAAAAUCUUCCAGCUGCACUACAAAUCUUCCUGUCCAUGAAUUGCUUAACAUUCUACUUUCCUUUAUUAAUCGAAAUAGUGACGCUUUCUUACAAAACCAAGAAGCAGAGAAAGAAAAGAUAAACGCUUAGCCCUAAGAGGAACUUGAUGAACUCAAUACAAGGGUCUCCUGCCUGUUGUACUUGAGCAUCCUGGCCUCUUCUUGAGAAAUUUGGUACGCAUUUACUAGCACAUCAUCCGGCAGUGCUCUCAAGACUGAGGUCCAGCCAGCCAUUGUGUUGAUGAUCGCGUUGUCCUGCGUCUUGAAUGCUAUGUAUUGGAAUCCCUGAUUGUCAAUAGCCUUCUGCAAGACUGCGUGGUUUUGCGGCACUAUAAACAACUGACCCUGGCGGACCUCAUCGUCGAAUAUGGUCUCACCAUUGUCAUUCACCACUUGUACCCUAGCACUUCCUCUGAUCACGUAGAAUAUUUCGUGUGCCAAGAGGUUCCAAUGUGGGCUAUAGAUGGCAUUCUGCAACACAUUUACAUCACACAUAUCAUCAUCACAAUUACACUAACAGAAGAUGAUCGACUAGCUACAUGAACAAAAUGUAAUGUAUACAAGGACUCACAUUGUACAAGAAACCCGUCUCGGCGCUGAGGGACAUUUGCUUAAGGAUGGGCAUAUCAUUGCUGUUGAGGAUAUUGAUGCGACCAGCUUGUGGCGUGUAAAUGUCUGCACGUCUAGGGUCACCAAGGUACUGUUUUAGAGCAAUGUUGCACAAUGACUCCCCAAGACCAUUGUCAUGUCUUCCCUGCAGUCCUUGCUGCUCAUCUUUUUGUUCCUGUUGGGUUCGCUGCCAAUGUGAUGACUUAAUUGGAGGGUGGAGAAAACCAAAUUUUCCCUCCACUCUCACGAUUUGGCUUCGUUGUUGAUCAAUCUGGCCAUGAACUUUCAUGGCAGUUUCAAUGUCCACAUUGAGAGCGUCUGCAAGUAGGCUAGUGUCAAAGCCUGCGAAGAUGUUAUUGUUGUAAUUUGAUCCCUGACCCGAGUGGCGUCUCUGCUCAUAACUUAUGCCUUCCCCUUCUUGUUGGUUAAACUCAUCCUCCUGACUUAUGUCUUCCCCUUGUCGGUUAAACUCAUCUUCCGGGUUACCAGCAAGAUAGAAUCUCUAUAUACAUAAAACACCAAAAUAGGCAACAGUAAUUGGCAUGCAAUAACUAUACAUAUGACGUUAGAAGUAGUAUGAAAAUACAUAUAAGAGUGCAUGGAUGCUUCCCAUCUAAUGAAAUGAGCAUCAUAUAUAGUUUACUUUUCAAGAAUUAUCCAAACAAAAACUCAAUCUUCGAAACACUUGGUUACGUUUCAUUAGAUAUUGAUUUAGUGCUCAUUCUUUUCAGUUUUCACCAUCAUCCAUGAGUUAUUGAACUAUAUAUUUGUUGUUCUUCUCUUAAUUUUUUUAGGCACAUUGAACUAUAUUUCAAGUUAUAUGGUCUAUAUUCUAGACAUGCAUGCAUGUAAUUGUAGUUCUUCAUUAACCCUAAAGUUAUUUGUGACUUUAACUCUGGCUAGCUAGAUCCAUUACCCUCGGGUUUCGAUCAAGCUGGUUAAGGUCGUUGCAGAUGUCUAGAAGACUAACGGCGACGAGGGAUGAGUUGCCAUUGUUGUGCACCCAGUGGACAAUCCCAGGAGGAAUAGCAAUGAUGUCACCUUCUCCAAUGAACCGAACCUUCUGGUGGCGUUCUAAAUCGUCGAAGCCUUGUCUUUCUUCUUGUACUUGUUCAGAGCCUUGAGACAAUUCGAACGUCUCCGGACAGCCAGGCAAUGCAGUCAUCAUCACACCCCAACCUGCACAUAACAUUUUCAUGUCCAUUGCAUCAGUUUAGUAACUAUUCAUUAUCUGAUUCCUACUUAAUUCUCUUUUUUGACAUAUACACACACGCAUAUACCUUUGACGAUGUACAUGAGUUGAGGGGAAUGUGUGUAAGAAGGCAAGUGAAGGCCAUUGGGUUCAAUGGUGAUUCGCUGAGCCGCGACGCCGGCGCACUGAAAGUCAUUCUGGUAGUGAUCCCAUGACUCAAUCCGACCAGCUUCACACUCGAUCUGAAUAUCGGGUUCGCGGGCUUGGAGUUGAUCGAUUUGGCACUGAUUUUGCUUGAUGGGUUCAAACUGCGGAUCAGCUGCUAAGCACCCGUAUUGGGAGAGGACAUGAAGGAGUACCAAGCAAAGAGGAAUAGCAAGCUGUAAGGGCUUAGCCAUUGAUAUAUGCAAGAGCAAUUAAGGAGGAGGAGAAGCAGAGUAGAGCUUAUAUAUGGAGGAGGAGAUGAGGCAGAGACGACACGUCUUGGCCAUACUUAUCUUUGCAUGGACAUUAAUACUUCAUGUUGUUACACCUCAUCCUGUCUUUUAGAGCAGGUGGCUCUUGGUAUAGUUCUAGAGAAAGAUACAAAUUCAACACAUAUGCAUGCAAUAUAUGGUUUUGCUUUCAGUAAUUUCUGACGAUUAUAAGAAGCUGGAAACUGAGAACGAAUUUUAAUGGCUAGAAUUAGUUCCAAUAUGUGUAUAUAUGGAAGAAAUGAAAGAAGUGCACGUUCUAAACUUCAAAUUUAAAUAGCUAAGCGGUAGUGUCAUUGAUUAAUUGAUACAUUUAUGGACUGAAAUCUCAUUGCUUUCAGUCGAAUCUAGGUUCUUAGUUUGCUGUUUAUGACUCAUUAUUAUUGAUGAAGUUGUAUUGCGACAUAAUAUUCGUUUUACAUUAAGAGAAAUUUUAAAUACACACCCCUAAUCUCUUAAUACACACCUCUAUUAUUUUAUGUUUCUAUUAAGAUUUUAUAAGUAAAUUAAAUGACUAAAACAAACAUCUCUUAUUAAAAAAAAAAAAAAGCGCUAGAAGUAUUCUUUUCAAUAUCUUUUACCCUAAAAUCGUUGAAAGUACGUCUUCUCCCAUAACCCCAACUCUUCUCCACAAUNNNNNNNNNNNNNNNNNNNNNNNNNNNNNNNUUCUUUUUUUUUUUUUUUUUUAUCUGUAUCAGCUUUAGUUUGAUCUUGCAUAUCAUAUUCUCAAGUACUGCAUCUUUAUCAUGACAUGUUUUAUCGAAUAACUAGAUAUCUAUGUUUAAUAGCUACUUCUACACUUCUACUAUCUUGUGAAUUUUGAAAAGUUGUAUCGAUGAUUUGGAGUUGAGAUAUAACAAUAAUCAUUUGAUUAUAAAUUGAACAAUGAUAAUAAAAAAUUUCUAACAAAAAUUAGACGAAAUAAUAUGUAAAAAGAGGUAUCAAAUAGUAAAUAUUGAUUAAUUAUAUUAAAUAAUGAAAUAUUUCAUAAAUUAAGGGUAUUUUAGGCAGUUUGAGAUGUGUAUUAAGUAUAAUACUGAAAUGAAAAACUUGAUAUGUGGUGUAUUAAGUAAGGGGUGUGUAUUAAGAUAUUAGGGGUGUGUAUUUAAAAUUUCUCUUACAUUAAUAGAUCGGCACCCAUGAUUUUCAGAAAAAAAAAAAUGCUUUUGAAUAUAGAGUAUGUUCAUGAAAUAUAUAGCACUGCUAGGCAUAAAUAGUUGAUAAAAUACCUUUGCUAAACGAAUCUAGAGUAUUUCCAGUAUCAUUUGGUCUAACGGCGUAAUCUCCUUUUAGUAAGUGGGAGGUUGUGAGUUUGACUCACGAAGUUAUAAUAUUCAAGUUGUUUAGCUGAUAAAAAAAACGAAUCUAUACCUAAAUUUGAUUAGCAAAUCACUUAUACAUCCUUCAAAAAGAUUUAAAACACAAAUAAAUCCACUUGUUUUGUUGUUAAACAAAUAAGGACAAUUUUUAACAAUUAAGGACAAUUUUUUCUCUAUAUGCCAUGUGUCAUGAUUUAAUUUACCAAACUAACCCUACACUAAUUAAAUAUACUUUUAGAAGAGAAAAGUUUUUCCUUUUGAGAUUUUUCAGUAAAUAGAAUACAGUAGUAAUUUUCAAUAAUUUAGUGUGGUAGCAGUUAAUUUUAGUAGAAGUAGCAAUACGUAGUAGCAGCAACAUGAAUCAACAACUUACAAUAACAACACACAACAACAACACACACAGUAGUAGCACACAUCAACAACACACACAGUAGCAACACACAUCCACAACAACAUGCAGUGGCAGUACACGCAAUAGCAGCACACAACCACAACACACGCAGUAGCAGCACACAACAGCACACAAUAGCAACACACAACAGCACACGCAGUAGCAGCACACAACAACACACGCAGUAGCAGCACACAACAACAGGCAGUAGCAGCACACAACAACACGUAGUAGCAGCACACAACAACAGGCAGUAGCAGCACACAACAGCACGUAGUAGCAGCACACAACAACAACACACACAGUAGNNNNNNNNNNNNNNNNNNNNNNNNNNNNNNNNNNNNNNNNNNNNNNNNNNNNNNNNNNNNNNNNNNNNNNNNNNNNNNNNNNNNNNNNNNGAGGAGAAGAGGAAGAAGAAGAAGAAGAAGAAGAAGAAGAAUAAAAAUAAUCGGUGUGUUUCUCAUAUUUAAAAAUGGUGGAGAAGUGAUAUUUUAAGUUAGUGGCAGUUUUGUAGAUAUUUUAAAAAAUAAUGAUUUUUUAGGUAUUUUGCAUAAAAAAUUGCUGACAGGACGUGGUACUAUACACUGUAGGCCUAUAUAUAUGUCCUUAUUUGUUUAAAUAUGUUGAAAUAUGGUUUUUCUGUGUUUUGCAACUGUUUAUGAUAGCUAUACAGUAGGCCUAUAUAUAUGUCCUUAUUUGUUUAAAUAUGUUGAAAUAUGGUUUUUCUGUGUUUUGCAACUGUUUAUGAUAGUGGGAUGUUAUUUUCUAAAAUUUGAUCAGACUAUAUUAAAUUCUUGCUAUUGAAACAUAGGACCUCCCAUAUUUACUUUUUGCAGUUAUGCUCUUUGAAUUGCUAAUGGUAUGGAUUUGAUACGAUGUGGUUAUUGGUCAUGCAAGUUGGAUCAAAACCAUGUUAAAAAGAGAGCUCACUGAGAACAAAAGAUUACAAGAUGGAUCAAAACCAUGUUAUUUUCUAUUUACAACGGUAGAUUUCUCCUCUUACAACACAGCCAUACAAGGCCGUUUUUAUUCUUUGUACCAUGCAAAACUCCGUGCCGCAUUACGUUUUUACAUCUCAUCAUGCAUUCAUUUAAGCAAUAGCCCUCUGGGACUCGGAAGACCUUGAAGAGCUCAAAGCAACAGUUUCCUGUCUGUUGUAUUUGAGAUUCCUUGCCUGUUGUCGGUCAAUCUGGUACGCAUUAGCAAGGACACCGUCCGGGAGUGCACGCAAGACUGAGGUCCGGCCAGCCAGAGUGUUAAUCUUGGCAUUGUCCUGGGUCUUGAAGGCAAUGUACUCGUAGCCAUUGUUGCUAGCCUUCUGUAACACUGCGUGGUUCUGUGGCACAAUGAAGAGCUGGCCCUGGCGGACCUCGUUGUCCAAGAUGGCCUGGCCGUUGUUGUUCACAAUCUGAACCCUAGCGCUACCUCUAAUGACAUAGUACACUUCAUGAGCGUUCAAGUUCCAGUGGGGGCUGUAGAUAGCAUUCUGCAUGUAGAAGACAAUUAAUAAGAUACUUACAUGAGCUCAAACAACUAAUCAGUUACUUGAAAUUGACAAAUAUUGAGUAUACUUACGUUGUAGAGGAAGCCUCUCUCAGCGCUGAGGUCAAGGUGCCUGAGAAUAGGCAACUUAAAACUGUUGAGCGUGCUGACGCGACCGGCUUGGGGACUGAAGACAUCGGCGCGUGACGGCCUGCCAAUAUUCUCUUUGAUCCUGAAGUUGCAGAAUGUCUCCUCAAAACCAUUCUGUCCUUGUUGCCCCUGUUGUCUCUGAAUUCCCUGUUCUCGUCUUUCCUCCUGUUGUGACUCUGGUGGCUGGAUGAAAUCGAGACGUCCUCUAACUCUCACGAUUUGGGGUCUGUUGUCUUUCUGUCCCUGAAGCUGCUGGGCAGUCUGUUGGUCAAUGUUCAAAGCAUCAGCGAGGAGCUGUGUGUUGAAGCCUGCAAAGAUGUUGUUGUUUCCUUGUCGUUGUUGUUGCUGGUGCCUGCUCCUUCCUCCUUGCUGUUGCUGGUGCCUGCUCUUUUCUCCUUGCUGUUGCUGGUCCUGGUCCCAUUGACUUUGGCCUUCCGCUUGUUGUCCACGUCCUUGCCGUCCUCGUUGCCUUUGGCUUUGCCCGUGUUGGUUAAACUCAUCUUGUGGAUUACCCGCUAGAUAGAAUCUCUAUACACAUAACAAUAGUACAAUACAUGUAUGUGAUCUGCAGUCAGCAAUGAUAACAAGUAAUCUACCAAUAAAUAUGCAAAUAUAUUUGGGGGUGUAAAUGGACAGUGUGCUCAUUAGUAGAUAUUUAAUUUACCCUAGGGUUACGAUCAAGCUGGUUUUGGUUGUUGCCGAUGUCAAGAAGACUGACAGCAACAAGAGGUUGAUCACCGUCAUUGUAGGACCAGUAGGUGACUCCGGCAGGAAUAGCAACAACGUCACCUUCUCUGAUGCGUCGAACCUUCUGGUGUCUGUCUAGCUGUUCGAAGCUUUCUUGUCCCUGUUGGCCUUGCUGGCCUUGUUGUCUAUGACGGCCAUGCUGUCCACGGUCUUGCUGCUCUUGUUGUUCACGGCCUUGCUGUCCAUGACGCCCUUGCCAUUGUUGUUGACCCUGUUGUUCUUCAUCAGAUUGUUCUGAUUCUUCAAAAGACUCAGGACAGCCAGGGAAUACAGUAGAUAGAAAACCAUUUCCUGCCGUAAUUAUAUGAAUAUAUUACACACCAUAUACAGAUACAUAUUAAUACAUAUCCAACAUUUAUAAUAUUAGAUAGAAAUGGUUCCGGUUACACAGUACCUUGGACAAUAUAUAUGAGCUGUGGUGCGUGGGUGUAAGAAGGCAAGUGAAGGCCAUUUCUUUCAACAGUGAUUCGUUGAACAGCAACACCAGCACACCGGAAGUCGUCCUGGUUGUAGUUCCAGGACUCGAUCCUACCCGCUUCAGUCUCAAUGCGGUUAUCAGGUUCGCGGGCUUGGAUCUGAUCAAGUUGGCACUCAUUCUGCUGGCUCGACUGAGAUUGUUGGCGCGCUGCUAAGCAGCUGUGGAAGAGGACAAGCAAGCAAAGAGAAAAGGCGAGAGCUAUAGGCUUAGCCAUAGUGUUGAUCAGAUAAGUAUAUAGCUUGUCGUGGUGAAGCGGCGAGUAGAAGGUGUGGUAUUUAUACUUUUAUAGGAUAGAGAAGCUGAAGAGGGAAGGAUAAGUACAACAACGUACAUCUGUAAAUAGUCUGAAGCCAUUCUUAUCUUUGCAUGGCAAAAGCAUUUCACAUUCUUACACCUCAUUUCUCCCAGGGCAGGUGGCUCAUGGCUUCAGAGAAGAUACAAAGUGCCUAACAAGGUGGGGUUUUGCCAUGAUUGUCUGCAAGUGAAGCGAAAUUCUACUGCCUUGAACCUGGUCCAAUAAAGAGCAAAAUUUAUGAGAGGACUAAGAUAUGUUCUUACCAGUUUUAGUAAAAUAGUAUUACAUCAGCACCAACCUGAUGAACAUCUUCUAUAAUGUAGGCAAGGUUCAAAAAUGGCUGUUCUUAUCUUCCUAGUAGCCAUCCAUACUCUGUCAUUUUAUGAGUCAAAGUUUAAUAUUUAAAACUUAUGUAGACAUUCCAACAAUAAAACUUAAAAGUUCUUAACUCUAGUUGGUAAUACUUUGACACGUCAAACUUCUUUGAUUUCUUCCAGAAGCAUAAGCAUCUGGUUCUCACGUUGCUAAUCACUUCACCUAUCUAGUUUUCCUACCAAAAAGAAUCUGAUAUAGAUAGAAAAGUUAGCCAUAAAUGUAGGACUUACUGUGAACAAUGUCCCAAUUCCAACCUCAAAGAUUAGAAUCUAAAAGCUCGUAACUCAAAAUUAUACAACAUCAUUAUAUUCACAAUAAAAAGUACUCUGACAUAAGGUUUAGUUCAGUUUAGUGCUUCUUGAAAAAAAAGAUGAAGACUUCAACUGUUCUACAACAUAAUUGUCUAUAUCUAUACUCAAAAUGAUCAAUAAUCGUUUAUCCUACCAUAUUUCUUGUAUGGAAUAUCUUGUUACAUUUUGUUUUCAUAGCAAAAUGUUGCAAUAUUUGAGUGAUAGAUACACUGCCAACAUGGUGUACAAGUUCCACAGCCAAGAUUUUUGGGCUCACGACAACUCUUAAGGCUUAAGAACCAGUAAUGCAUGGUUGAACUAGGGAGCAGCCAUUGCUGAAGGCUCCUCCUCAAAACGAUCCAUUGCUUUAUUACCCCAUGGUUGGAAAACCUGCCAACAGUCAAAAUUUCCUCUUCCCCCGCAGUCGAUAUUUUCUCAUCUCAAUAAAUUUUAUUCAUCCAAAACAUAAAUCCUUUUGUUUAAGUACCCGCCAGUAUAUCUAAUAUCUGUGACAAGCCGAGUGCUGACAGCUGAUAUUUUAAAACUUGGGAUUCCCUAUAGCCCCUCUCAUUAUAACCCCUCUAAUGUUAAAGCUUCUGCUAAAGACACAUCUCUAGUUCCUCGAGCUAAUGCUACAUCCGCAAUGCAAUUGUUCCCAUGCAAUGAUUAGCCAGAGGAAAACUCGAGGAGCUCCCUUGACUCUGAUCAAUUUAGCCUCAAGUCUCGAACUUGUUCUUUGAAAGUCAGUGAAGAGGCUACUUCUUUAACUGGUGAUGGUGCUCAACCAAUGUUAAGCCAGACAGAGGAUAGUUAAGUGAAUCUGGUCGGGAAGACCUAAAAAGAGCAAAACUUCUUGCUUUCCCUUGCUACACAACGAGUACUACUAAAAGGUCGAUUCCAACAAAAGAGCUCAGGAUGUUGUUAUUAAUGGGGUUGGGACUUGAGUUCUCGGGUGGGAAUGUGAAGGUGCAGCAGUUGCUUUGCAACUCUACUUUACUGUCCUUGUCCAAGCUGAUAAGGGUGGGACGACAUUGAACGGCCUUAUUUACAGGUCCUCUAUAUAUUGGAAUACUUGACUGUCUCAGAAAGGACUUGCCAAGUGAUUCCCUAAUUCUAAUGCUCAGACCUCGGCCUAUUUGAAAUGUCUGAUAGAAACUAGUUUGAGGAAUAAUUAGCUUCUUUACCUGUGAGUACAUGUUUCUAUGGAAGGUUUCUGUAAUGCUAGCUUUCCUUCUGCUAUAAGGAAGGUGACCAAGCUUUUAAUCCUAACACCAAAGUUAAACCUUUUCCAAAGAAAGGGGGUCAAAACCUGUAGAAUAUUAUGUAACAGGUUGAACCUAACACAUAAAGUUCAGCAAUCAUCCAUGAUCCAUCUUCUAUCAUAUUUUUACUGAACCAAAGAUUAAGUAAUCAACACUGGCAGUUGUUUAUGUAAGUUAUUCUGAUAAAGAAAAAAGAUCCAUCACUACCCUUAAACUUAUUGUGCCACAAAACACAAAUGACUUCAAUUGUUCCUAUCGCAUAGAAACCAAACUUUUGUCAUUGUUUCUUGGAAUUAUUCUGUACACAUCACUUCUGUGCAAUCAUGCACAAAAUAGAAUCAAAAUACCAUGACAAUGACAAAGGGUUUAAUUCAAUUUGGCACUUCUUACCAACACUAUGCUCCUCCAAAUGGUCCUCAUAGUCAAAGGGACUUCCCCAUAUCCCUUGUUCCAAAAUUAGCUUCUUUACCCAGAAUCAAUCAUCCUACUACGCUCAAAAUAUCUAAUUUCUCAAUACUCUACUGAUUCAAUUGAGUUGAAGACAAAGUAGACAACAAUUAACAGAUCAAAUGUGAAAGUACAUAAUUCAAUAGACUCACGAUUGCUGAGUUGCAGGUCACUGGUUGUGGUGUGUCUGAUCAGCAGGAGCUACGUUUCAAGCACGCCCUCGUGAAGCAAUCUCGUCCCCGACGCGACCUCUGGUAGUCGGAAUAUGCGGCCGGAUAACAUGAUCCGGCGAUCCCGUCUUUCACAUUGUGUUUGGUUGGACAUUGGCGGUUCCAGCAGUUCAGUUACUAUUGGUCUUCACCCUCUCAGCGCUCAACCUCUUCUAGUCUCUCCUUUUAUUCUUGUACUUGUCAGUUGUCACAGUUGCUAUCUAUGUGAUUGUUCCACGUGGAUUUUAUUUUCCUGCAAAUUCCCAAAUUAAUUAUUAUUUUGUCCAAAAUUUCCAGAUGAAUUGUUUGUUGUCUUUGAUGUUUUUUUUUCUUUUGUAAAAAGAUCGUAUGACCCCUUAUAUGGAUAUUUUCAGGAGACUUCUUGCCGCCUUCACGCUGUUCACGUUCCACAUACAUAUAUACAUGCAGCUCAACAUGCUUUUUCACCAACUUCACUGAGUUCUUUGAUGAUUCUAAUCAUUCGAUGGAAUCACAAAAUAGUUAGUUUAUACAACAGAGUUCGUGAGCUGCUUAUUUUAUAGUUUAAUUUUGGCGUGACGUCAUUAGUUAAAGCUCGACGAAGCAUGCUGUUUUUCUUUUCUAUCAAGAGCGUGAUUAGCUGGUUUGGAAAUUUCAUUUCUAUUUUUCUCGUUCUUAUUGAGAGUCAAACUUUGAAGAAAUGAUAGUCAAACUUCGAAGAAAUGAUUGGAGUCAAACCUGAUGAUUACAGACAAGGGGUGAGCUGCUGAUAUGCAAUUACAGCCAAAGCAAAUUACUGACUUAAAUCUAAGGGGCAAAGCUUCACAAUUUAGAUAAAACACCAACUCACCAAGUAUAGUUGAGGCAAAAAGAAAAUUCAUUUAACGAGAAUAUGACUACAAGAACGUAGUAGCUCGUUAUUUACUAGUUUGUACAUAAGAUCUCAUAUCUUCCGAAGAUGCCAUAUAAAGGCCAUUUUUAUUCACUCUACCCUUUAGCUCGCUGGUACCAUAUUCACUAGCUUAUUCACCGCACAAAAAACACUACGUGCGCAUUACAUACAUAUUCAUACUCAGACAAACAUCUCAGCAAUAUCCAACCAGUUCCUGUGGGAUCGAGGAGACCUUGAUGAGCUCAAAGCAACAGUCUCCUGCCUGUUGUACUUGAGAGUCCUUGCCUGUUGUCGAUCAAUCUGGUAUGCGUUAGCGAGGACCACGUCAGGGAGUGCCCGCAAGACUGAGGUCCGGCCAGCAAGAGUGUUAAUCUUAGCAUUGUCUUGGGUCUUGAAAGCAAUGUAUUCGAAUCCAUUGUUGCUAGCCUUAUGCAACACUGCAUGGUUCUGUGGCACAAUGAAGAGCUGGCCCUGGCGGACCUCGUUGUCCAAGAUGGCCUGGCCGUUGUUGUUCACAACCUGAACCCUAGCACUACCUCUAAUGACGUAGUAGACUUCAUGGGCGUUCAAGUUCCAGUGAGGACUGUAGAUAGCAUUCUGCAAGUACCACAAACAAGAUUAGUAAUCAUAAUCAAUAACCUCAAUUGAUUCAAAAGGACCUAUAUCGUUGAUUAUAUAUACUUACGUUAUAGAAGAAGCCUCUCUCAGCGCUGAGGUCAAGGUGCCUGAGAAUAGGCAACUUAAAGCUGUUGAGGGUGCUGAUGCGACCGGCUUGGGGACUGAAGACGUCAGCGCGUGAAGGCCUGCCGAUAUUCUCUUUGAUCCUGAAGUUGCAGAAUGUCUCCUCAAAACCAUUCCGUCCUUGUCCCUGUUGUCUCUGAAUUCCCUGUUGUUGUCUUUCCUCCUGUUCUGACUCUGCUGGCUGAACAAAGUCGAGACGUCCUUUAACUCUCACGAUUUGGGGUCUGUUGUCGUUCUGUCCCUGAAGCUGCUGGGCAGUCUGUUGAUCAAUGUUCAGAGCGUCAGCGAGGAGCUGUGUGUUGAAGCCGGCGAAGAUGUUCUUGUUGUUUCCUUCUUGUUGCUGGUGCCUGCUCCUUCCUCCUUGCUGUUGCUGGUGCCUGCUCCUCUCUCGUUGCUGUUGCUGGUCCUGGUCCCAUUGACUUUGUCCUUGCUGGCCCCGACGACUCUGGCUUUGCCCGUGUUGGUUAAACUCAUCUUGUGGAUUACCAGCCAGAUAGAAUCUCUACAUACAUAACACAUCAUGCAUGUGAUCAGAAAAAACUAGCAAGCCAACAGUAAGAGUGCUAUUGUACCUCCACAAAAGAAAAUAUAUACAUAUCACAUUUGCUAAUUAAUUUACCCUGGGGUUACGGUCAAGCUGGUUUUGUUGGUUGCCGAUAUCAAGAAGAUUGACAGCAACAAGAGGUUGGUCACCGUCGUUGUAGGACCAGUAGGUGACUCCAGCAGGAAUAGCAAUCACAUCACCUUCUCUGAUGCGUUGAACCUUCUGGUGUCUGUCUAGCUGCUCGAAACUCUCUUGUCCCUGUUGGCUGUGCCGCCCUUGUUGUCUAUGACGACUUUGCUGUCCAGGGCCUUGUUGCCCUCGUUGACCACGGCCUUGUUGUUCAUACUCUUCCUGUUCUUGUUGCCCGCGGCCUUGCUGUCCAUGGCGCCCUUGCUGGCCUUGCCACUGUUGUUGACCUUGUUCUUCAUCAGAUUGCUCAGAUUCUUCAAAAGUUUCAGGACAGCCAGGGAAAACAGUUGAUAGAAAACCAUUGCCUACAGGGUAUAAAUGAAUGAUUUUAACCACAUACGUACUUGUAUUCAAAAAAUUUAUACUAAAUUUAACCAAUUGCAUUUAUACAAUACCUUGCACUAUGUAAGUGAGUUGUGGAGCAUGGGAGUAAGAAGGCAAGUGAAGGCCAUUUCUUUCUAUGGUAAUUCGUUGAACGGCAACACCAGCACAUUGGAAAUCGUCCUGGUUGUAGUCCCAGGAUUCGAUCCUACCCGCUUCAGUCUCAAUGCGGUUAUCAGGUUCACGGGCUUGGAGCUGAUCUAAUUGGCAUUCAUUUCGCUGGCUCGACUGAAAUUGUUGGUGAGCUGCUAAGCAGCUCUGGAAGAGGACAAGCAAACAGAGAGAAAAGGCGAGAGCUAUAGGCUUAGCCAUAGUGAUGAUCAGAGAGAUAGCUAGCUAGUUGUGGUGAAGCGGCGAGUAGAAGGUGUGGUAUUUAUAGGAUAGAGAAGGUGAAGAGACAAAAAUAAGUACAAUAACAUUAAAGAUCUGAAGCCGUUCUUCUCUUUGCAUGGCAAUAGCAAUUUACAUUCUUCCACCUCAUUCCUUCCAGGGCAGGUGGCUCAUGACUUCAGAGAAGAUACAAAGUGCUAUGAAUAAGGUGGCAACCAGAAGCGGUUUGCAAUUGUCUGCAAGUGAAGCAAAAUUUUACACCCUUGAACCUGGUCCCAAUACAGGGAAAAAUUAAUGAGAGAAGUCAGAUAAGUUCGUUCUAAAUUUGGUAAAAUGAUAUUACAUCAGCCCCAACCUGAUGAACAUCUUCUAUGAUCCAGACAAGGUUCAAAAAUGUAAGAUCUCAUCGGAAAAAAAAUGUAUGUUAGAUAAGUACUGAAUGAUGUGUCAGGAACCUCAAGACAUUUUUCUAUAUGCAAUUUAUCAUUGUUUCACAUUCUUACAGCUCAUUUCUUUGACCAGGUGGCUUAUGGCUUCAGAGAAGACUCAAAGUGGCUUGAACAAUGUGUCAACCAGGUGGGAAUGACAUGAUUUUCAAAUGCAGCAAAGAUUUACUGCCGUGAAUAAUGCAAAAUUAAUUAUACAAACAAGAUCUAUAGCUGUUCAAUGCAUAGUUUGGAAAAGUAAAAUCAUACCAACACCAACCUGAUAAACUCAUCUAUGAUGCAUGCAUGGUGAAAAAUUAUAACAUUUUCAUCUUUCCUACAGUAAUCAGCAUAGUCUAUCCUUUCAUGAAUCAAAAUUAAUACUUCAAGUCUAUGCACAUAAAAUCUUACUAAAAAUAAUGCAGUUUAGUGGUUUAUAUAAGUUUCUUUGCAAACAAAUCUGAACUCCAUCACUAUUCUUGAAACUACUGUGACCCAUCAACGUUAUUACCUCAGCUAUCAACCAUUCUCAUGUCAUAAAGAUUCAGAAUUUGCAAUAUUACUCCUAGAAGUUCUCUGUUCAUCUACAGAAAGGAGUCUCGUAGAAGCUACUGUUGUGAUAGAAGCUAGGAUAGCUAAUGCUGCAAAAUUGAUCUCCGAGAAGCUAUUGUUGUUAAAAUCCCAUCUCAUAAAAUUUUCUCCUGUUUCAAAAAUUAAAAAAUAUAAAAAAUUGUCUCCCUUUGAUUAAAGCACCCUGAACACCAGAAAUGGUGUCACUUAAAACCUCUCUCAAUCUCCAAGCUAACACUUUUGCGAUAAUUUCAUACAAGCUUGAUAAUCAAGCUGUGGACUUCUGUAGAUGAACAGAGAACUUCAAGGAGAACUACCACUUUUGGACUAAUUUUACAACCAAGACUUUACUUCUACUACUUUGUUAUAAAAGAUUGCAAGGCAUCAAUAGACGAUAUAUAGUUGAUAAGACUGGAUGCAAUCCACUCAAAUGCAUUUCAAAAAACUAUAUUCAAUGAGUAAUUUGAGUUGUUUUUUUCUUCCAACUCAAAAACUUGAACAAACCUCGAUUCUAAUACUCUAAACAAAGAAUUUAACCCGGAAUCGAAAGAUCAAUACUGAAAAACAUAAUCUGAUACAUAAACAUGUGUUAUCAUUUGUAAAACAUCAGAUACAACCUAUUUGCACAAAAUGGGUUACACAUCUCUAACAAAGGCUUAGACUUUAGAUAUCAAAAGAAUUCCAAUUUGUCCUCUUCUACACAAUUCUAACAAAUGCUCAAGUCCUUUAAGGCCUUGUAUUUAGAUGCUAAGAAGAGUAAAAAAUGGGCCUAUUGGCAGGAUUUAAAUUGAAAAUCUUGAUUUAAAAAUGGUUGAAUUCCAGAUCAGUCUACAGAGAAUCUAGUAAUUCUAUGCUUCAAAAACUCAUUUGCCCCUCUUUAAAUCCUCACAAUGUGGGGUUGAUUAGCUUCCUUUAACCAAGAGUAACAUGGUUCUAUGAAAAACAAGCAUUAAUGAAUCAAACAGAGAUCACAACACAAUAACAAAUAGAUCAAACUUUGAAAUCAACUAAUAUUAGACUCCCAAAUUCCAAGUUCAAGUAGGCUGUUGUUGAAUCACGCGUUACCUCGCGAAGCGAGUCUCGCUUCCCACGACGUUGCAUUUCUUGCUCGUCGGCGUAUGACGCCGGAGAAAACGAUUCGGCGACCACGUCUUCCAUUUUUCCCUUCAUUUUCUGAUCCUGGUUUGCUCUCUGGUUUUCUACCUAUUGUGUUGGGCUUUAUUACAUACUUUUGGGUCCUUUUUCCUUUUAUUUUUCUUUUUCUUUCAUUUUAAAAGUCGAAUAGUUUCCUAAUAUUUCGAAAAAUUAAAAGUCGAGUACCUCACAGUAUCUAGUUUUUAUUUGAUAAAUCAGUAUCUAGUUUUUUUUUUUUAAGAAAGAGCUUCUAGUUUUCAUAUUCAUUUGAUAAAUAAAAGUAAUUUUAACCUCUCGUGUGCAUUUAAGUUGUCUAUUAUGGUGAGAAAAGUUUCCUAAAAGAAAACUAUGGUGAGAAAAACAAGAGCAUUCGAAAUGAGAAGAACAUGAAGGUGGAUUUGAGAGGAGCCAAAACGCGAAUCAAAGGAAGAAGAAAGAGAUUUCAUUAGAAAAAAGUGUAACGCGAAUCAAAGGAAGAAGAAAGAGAUUUCAUUAGAAAAGAGUGUUUGAGACUACAAGUAGAGUAGCUAUUUAUUAACUUGUGGCAUUAGAUCUCUCUCCUAGUACCACGAGACCCAUAUAAAAGGCUACUUUUAUUGAUUAUCUACCUCUUAGCUUAGCAAGUACCACAUUAACACUACAUGCCGCUAAAUUUUUCAUUUGCUCCCAUCAGUAUCUCUAGAACUGUGAGGACCUUGAUGAGCUCAAAGCAAGAGUCUCCUGCCUGUUAUACUUGAGGUCCUUGCCUGCUCGCGGUCCAUCUGGUAGGCGUUGGCGAGGACCACGUCGGGGAGUGAUCGCAAGACGGAGGUCCUGCCAGCUAGAGUGUUGACCAUGGCAUUGUCAUUGGUCUUGAAGGCAAUGUACUCGUACCCGUUGCUCUGGGCUUUUUGCAACACGGCGUGGUUUUGCGGCACGAUGAAGAGUUGUCCCUGGCGGACCUGGUCGUCCAAGAUGGUCUCACCGUUGUCGUUCACCACCUGAACCCUGGCGCUACCUCUGAUGACAUAGAUGAUCUCAUGAGCAUUCAAGUUCCAGCGGGGGCUGUGGAUAGCAUUCUGCAUGUACCAUUACCAGAUAAAUUUCAGGAUUAAUUGAUCAAUAGGUAACUAAAUUUAAUUAUUAGAAACAUACAUGCUAGAAUACUCACGUUGUAGAAGAAACCUCUCUCAGCGCUGAGACGGAGGUGCCUGAGAAUAGGCAUGCUGAAGCUGUUGAGGGUGCUGAUGCGACCGGCUUGUGGGCUGAAGACGUCAGCCAUGGAAGGCUUGCCGAUGUUCUGCUUGAUCUGCAUGUGGCAGAAUACCUCCUCAAAGCCAUUCUGGCGGCCCUGUUGUCCUUGCAGUUGUCUUUCCUCCCUCUGUGACUCUGGUGGCUCGACAAAGUCGAAACGUCCCUCAACCCUAACAAUUUGUGGCCUGUUGUCAUUCUGUCCCUGGAGCUGCUGGACAGUCUGUUGGUCAAUGUUGAGAGCAUCGGCGAGGAGCUGGGUGUCGAAGCCGGCAAAGACAUUGUUGUUGUUGUUACCCUGCUGUUGGCGCCUGCUCCUUCCUUGUUGUCGGCCUUGCUGUCCCCGUUGGCUUUGGCCUUGUUGUCCUUGUUUCCACCAUUGGCUUUGGCCUUGUUGGUUGAACUCAUCUUGCAUGCGGGUUACCAGCAAGAUAGAAUCGCUACAAAUAGAGAUCAAGCAGCAAGCAUUGAGUGAGUUAACAAUGUAAAAUAAGUUGUUAACUUCAUGUUUAGAGUAAAAUUGUCAGUAAAAAGGUGUACCCUCUUGGGUUUUGGUCAAGCUGGUUGUGGUUGUUGCCGAUGUCUAGAAGAGUAACAAAAACAAGAGAUUGAUCACCAUCGUUGUGAGUCCAGGUUGUGGCUCCGGCGGGGAUUGCGAUAACAUCACCUUCCUUGAUGCGUCGCACCCUCUGGUGUCGGUCUAGCUGUUCAAACUCUUGUUGGCCUUGCUCUCCGAAUUGCCCUUGUCGACGUCCGUGUCGCUGGCGGUGGCCUCCGCCUUGUUGGCCUUGCCAUUGUUGUUGCUGUUGUUCUUCAACAGAUUGCUCAGACUCCUCAAAUGUCUCCGGACAGCCAGGGAAUACCAUCCCUAGAUGACCCCUACCUACAGUAGUGUCCAAAAAUAGCAAGCUAAACACAUGCUUAAACACCACUAGGUGCAAUUUACUGAAUAAUAAAUAACGGACUGUUUUGCACUUUACCUUGUACAACGUAAACAAGCCUUGGUGUGUUAGUGUAGGAAGGCAAGUGAAGGCCAUUACGCUCAAUGGUGAUUCUUUGAACAGCAACACCAGCGCACUAGAAGUCAUCCUGGUUGUGAUCCCAAGACUCGAUGCGACCUGCUUCAGUCUCAAUACGGUUGUCAGGCUCGCGGGCUUGGAUCUGGUUCAGCAUGCACACAUUUUGCUGGCUGAACUGAGAUUGUUGCCGACUGGCUAAGCAGCCUUGGAAGAGAACGAGCAAGCAAAGAGAAAAGGCAAGAGCUAAAGGCUUGGCCACCAUUGUAACAAUCAGUGGUAGAUAGCUAGCUGUGGGUUGUGGUGAAGCGGCGAGUAGAUGGCGUCGGUAUUUAGAGGAGAGAGGAGGAGGCGAGGAGGAGAAAAAUACAAGGGAUGAGAUUCUCUUUGCAUGCUAUUAGUAUCUCAAAUUCAUACACCUCAUCUUUAUACCUGGGCAGGUGGCUAUUGGCUUCAGAGGAUAUAUAUACAAAGUGCCGAGAACAAUGUGGCAAACAGGUGGGGGGUGGUCAUGAUUGUCUGCAAGUAAAGCAAAUUGUACUGCCUUGAACCUGGUCAAGUUCAUGAAAAAGUUCAUUCAAGAUAUCAGGUCUAAUCUGUUUCAUGUUUGGUAAAGUAAAUAGAGUAGCAACCUGGACCAUAUAUAAUCUACACAGGUGAGAUAAAAAAACCUUAAUUUACCAUCAUGCAAUAGCCAGAAUCCAUCUUCAAUCCUCUAUGAUUCUAUUAAGACUUAAAGCACAUUUACCCUCUUCAAGAAUUCACAUUCCAGCACUCUUCUAAAUGACUCUACUUGAUGAAAUUCAAAGUACCUCUCGCUAUAUUCUGGGAAUUACUGUGAUCAUCAGAGCAAUUACCUCACCUAUUAACUCAUAGUAUGCUUGAGCUAAUGUGAGAUCAUUCCUUAUAUAAAUGAGAAUGCAAUGCCUAACAUAAGUUUUAUGUGUAUAAUACAAUCAUAAGAGACUCACUGAUUACAAUUAUAUGAAAUAUAUGAAACAAAAGCACAGAAAAUAGACUUCUGGAAAAAGAACAUAUUUCUACAAGUGAAGGCUUAUUAUUUACACUAGUCUCACUGAUUUCCAUUUGGCUCUUCUGACCAAAUAGACUUCUGUAAAAAGUACAACAUUUGAGCCCAUGAUCACCCUCUACUUGGAAAUACCAUUGAUUCUAAAACAUAGUCCUUACAGUAUUUGUGGGAACUAGAUUAUUGGGUCAGUUUAGCUAAGAUUAAACUGUUAACAAAACCAAGCUUUAGAACCCAAUUUAGCAAAAUGAACAUACAAUAGUGUCACACCCCGGACCGUGGUUUCCAAGCACCAGACGCCGAACCCGAGGCGUGAGCGGGAAAAAUAAAAGAAAAUAAAAUAAUUUCAAAUACUUUUCCAGAAAUUGUUAAAAAAAAAGAAAAUAAAAUGUUUUACAAUAACAAAACAAUUACAAAGACAAUAAGAUGAGCCCUUGCGAUCUAGCUCAUUUUUAAUCUUUCGUAACUCUUUUCUACUCUUGUACACGUCUCCUAAACUUCAUAGUCUCGAAAUACGUUCCUCGUACGUACCUGAACAAAAGUCUAUAGGGAUGAGCUUACGCUCAGUAGGGCCAAACCUUUUUAGGUUAUACUUAACUAGGUUGCACAAACAAGUUAUCAAGCAAUGUCAAACAAUACUUUAAAUAAAUAACGGCAAUUCGAUGCAUGUAUGCUAAUGAAUGUCUUCCUCAAUUACUAGCUAUCAGUCCAUACAUCAAAGAUAAGUGAGCCUACACGUCUCAUACCGUGUAUUUUACCAACCGGGGAUAACUCAAAUGUCUCGAAUAUAUGAUCUAACAAUCAAUAAAAUCUCACCACCUGUACCUCUUUUGUUAGUCAUCUUGUUAUAUUCAUGGUCUCCAAACCUGAAACCCGAAGAUCGUUUUAUCGAUGUCCGCCAUCGAAGGGGCAUAUAUACUUUCCCCACUCAUUUGCGCAUGUGGGCUGGCAUGGAUUCAUGGACAACCCAUGAGAAAACUCAACUACACAAAAUGUAUAUAUUCUCUAAAUCUCAUUCUCCUCUCCAUAAUCAUCAUUCUCACCAUUCUCACAAUUCCUCACAAUGUUUUACACACUACAAGGACAAACACUUUAGCCGACGAAAAAGUUUCGUCGGCCUGUUAGCUUAAUUUGUCGGCUAAGAUUUCGUCGGGAAAAGGUCGUCGGCGAUGACUUUAGCCGACGAAAAAAGAAGACGUCGUCGGCUAUAGUCCCACAAUUUAGCCGACAAAAAACAUGUCGUCGGUUUUUUUCCCAGACUUUAGCCGACGAAACAAUAAGAUAUUCGUCGGCUAAAGUGUGUAAUAAAAAAUUAAAAAAAUAAUUAUAGCCUACCAAAUAUAGUCUGUUUCGUCGGCUAAACCUUAUAAAAAAAUUAAAAAAAUAACUAUAGCCGACGAAAUAUAGUAUGUUUCGUCGGCUAAACCUUAUAAAAAAAUUAAAAAAUAAAUAUAGCCGACGAAUAUAGUAUUUAAAUAUCGUCAGCUAAAGUUGCUGGUUUUUGAAAAAAAAAACUGCAGAAACUUUCGGCCAACUCCAAUCACCACCAAAAUUUGAUAGAAUCUUCCUCUCAACAUUUCAAACAACUUUCUAGAAGAAGUCGAAUCCCAAUUCUAAACCUAAACAGGUCAAUUGAAUCAAAAUAUAAAAAUCCCCAAUUUUAAACCCUAAAAACUUCAAAUCUUUGAUUCUCCUCACACACACCGAAUCGAGCUACCAAAUUCUAGGGGAAUGUAGUACUAAUCAAACUCAACUUAUCCAUAUAUAGAACUCACCAAAUGGUGACCUGAGGAAUGAGAAAUUCGAUCGACACCGAAUCCAAACCGGCGGAGUUUUGGAGCUCGAUUUAUCCCUCACGGCGGCGCCACUCGAUGCACCACCUAUCCAGCAAUGAAGUAGAGACAACGACGAAGCUUUUGGGACAAGUGUGGCGGUCUCCAGUUGCUUGACGGCAGAGCUAGGCCGAGAAGAAAAUCCGGAACUUUUUCUGAUUUUCUGACUUCUUACCAUCCACCUCUGGUAAAACUCCUAUAUAAAGAACUUUACCCGACGAAAUUCUUUAUUUUCGUCAGCUAAACUCUUUUGAAAAUUUUUGUUGACCGCCAAAAAAUUUGGUUGAAAAUUUUAAAAAUUUUUCGACUUUAGCCGACGACUUUUCAUAUAUUUUCGUCGGCUAAAGUCCUUUGAAAAUUUUCCUCCAAAUUUGGUUUACCGCCAACAAAAUUUGACCUUAGCCGACGACUUUUUUAGUAUCUCGUCGGCUAAAGUCUAUAAAUUCACGAAAACGCUCAUAUCGAUCUCCCUCUAUAUUACGUAGUUUGGUCAAACAUUCCACACGAAAAACUUUCACAUAGAUGAGACGCAACCGCCUAUAUAAAAAUUUUGAGACAUUUACCUUCCGACGAUAGGGCUCCCCAUAGGGAAUAAUAACGGUAAAUAGGGUUAACCGCUACUAUCGGCACCGAGACGUUACCCAGUUUACGUGGAUUUUGAACCAUAGCCGUAAUUCAUCAUUCUGAACACAUCUUAUUUCACAAGAUUUUUGAUAAUUUUGCUUCCUAUGUUGUAUAACCUACUAAACAAGUUAUACAACAUUACUAGACACGUGAUUCCGAUGACUAAAAUUCACAAACCAAAAUUCGACCAUCAGAUAUGAUCAUUAUGACGAAAGAUGUCUAUAGUAAAAAAUUUAACUGGAUUCGACAACGUUAAGGGCUCGAUCGAAACGGUCAACUCUAAUCGGAAAUAAGAAAACUGCAUUUUGAAGCCCUAAACGGACUCGGAUGGCCAAAAAGGCCCAUAUGUGAUGGCAUAGCGAUGAGUUUGACUCGUAGGGCCGUUACGCUUCUAGAAAUGUAUCACAAUAGUCAAUCGGACGCCGAAUGCCAAAUCUGCAGCAUAAUUAAUACCGGGUUUCGACUGUUCUACAUCAGAGACGUUACCCGAUUUACGUGAUUUUUGAACCAUAGCCGUAUUUCACCGUUCUGAACACAUCUUAUUUCACGAGAUUUUUGUUAAUUUUGCUUCUAUGUAGAGUUGGUUCACAAAGUUGUGUAUUUGUUUAAAACCUACUAAGCAAGUUAUACAACAUUUUAUUGUUUUUCUUUUAGCCGACGACUUUUAUCGAUAAUAGCCGACGAGUAAAAAUAUUGGCCAACGAAGGAAAACUUUUUGGUCGACGAAAAAAAAAUUUCGUCGACUAAAGUAUCGUAUAGCCGAUGAAAAAAUUUCUUCAGCCGACGAAAAUUUAAAUUAGCCGACGAAAAAAUAAUUCGUCGGCCUGGUUUUUUUAUUUUCGUCGGCUAAAACCUUUCUUUUGGUAGUGACACAUGUCAAAUGAAUAUCAAUACACGUUAUAUUAUUUUAAACAACAUGUUUUUUACGGAAAACGAUAACAUCAAUCAUAUAUAUCAACAAAUACACAUGUUUUUAACAAAACAAUAACAACCAAGAGUUAUCACUCAAUGACAAACAAAACAUCCAUUUCAAUUAUAAUCUAAUUAUCAAUUUAAGAAAGGUUCCCCGAGAAAGACCCUACCUGGAAUCCAAAUGCUACUUCCGACGCUAGCUAAAAUUAGUAACUCUGCUGAAAUCCUUAUCCUGCUACUUCUGCAAUCCAGCUACUCGCAUUCGAUCCUCGUACCGAAUCCUCAUUCCAAGAAUAUUGACAGACCACUUCAAAUCAGCUUGAUCUAAUUCUGAAAUUUACUAAGGACACCCAAGUCCUUACUUCCGAUUCUUCGACAUUCACUACUUAAUUCUCUCAUAGUAUCCAAACUCACAAUUGUGCUCCAAAUACGAAAUCCAUCUCCAAACACCAACCCAACUUCAAAUAGAAGUUAAUAUUUUUAUCUAAAAUUACUCUCUACACCCAAAACUCCCAUUAUAAAUCUCAAUACAGCUUGAUCAUCCUUCCCUCUUCUCCUUUGCACCAUUUCACAAUAUCUUCCUUGUAGACCCAACAAGCAAACCUCCAGACUUGUUCAUGAUGAACAUGUUCAUAUACGAGCACUUCCAUUACAUAAAUUAAAAUCAUUCUUCUACUUCCACAACUCUCAAACAUUAGACCAAACAAUUGUAACAACCACUGUUCUAACACUCGAGCCACAAUCAGCCUUCCAAUCAUCCCCUUCUCUCUCUUUUGAACGUUCAAGAAGCAUCAACACCAAUUCAAGUUCCUGAGCAAAGCCAGCACCGCCAACAACGCCACCACACACGGCAGCCGACGACUGCCCCGAAAUCAUCAACUCCUCCAAUCUCAAAUUCAAUUACAACCAACCAUGAAAUUAUAUUUUAAAGCCUCUAUCAAUAUCAAAGAUAGCUAAUCCAAAACCCAAAACAUUAUCAACGCCGCCGUGCACAGCAGCCGCGCACGGUGGUCGACUGCCCAAAUUCCACCUUCUUCCAAACAUAACCAAAUAUGAAUUCCACUUAUAUAAACAGGUAGAGCUCGACGAGAAGAUCAAGUUUCAUACCUCACUUGUCAUCGACGGUGGCCUGAAAGUUUCGAACCCUCGCCGGAAAACUCCUUGAGCUUUAAUUAAUCGAUUCUCACUCAUGGAGGCUCCUCUUAAUAUACGAACAUCAUGGAAGGGUUUCUGACAUCGAGACGAAGCUUCAGCUAUCGAUGAGAGGCGUCGACGCUGCCGGAAUCGAAAGUUGACCCGCGAACCCAGCCUCUCUUUCUCCCCUUCGAUUCUCUUACCCGACCUCUUCUGAAGAAACUGAGGACAUAGGGAAGACCACGAGAACGAGAGGAAGCUACCAAUACCCGUCACACUCGCCGUCGUGGCCGAAAUCACGAACUCGACCGGAAACCCAGAAAUUCUUCUCCUCCUCGAUUCUCUCUCUCCUCAGCUUUCCAUGGAAAUCCAACAUCACAAUCGUGUUGGGGACGACUAGACGGAGCUUUUGACACCGGUCUUGCACCGGGAAAUAGCUGGACCACAGAGGAAGGAGCUGAGCUCCGUCGCUGCAGAGCAGCUCGAGACCGAGUCGGUCUAGGCUUGUACUGAUCCAGUCCAAACUAAUCCCCUGUAUAUACAUACCUAAAUCGAUGGCCUAGAUCUAGCGGCUUAAGAGAUCCAACAGUCUAGAUCAUGUCAGCAAUAAGUCUAUUUUUAAUUAAAUUUUUAGAUAAUACAAACUUCUAAAAAUCAUUAAAAAUAGCUCUGAUGUCCAAAAAUACUUCCGUAAAAUUCUACAAACUCAUAACGACGUCUAGGUUAAUCCUAUGGGCUCGAAAGACAAAAUCGACAAACUAAAAAUUUGAAUAAUUUUCAACAAGCCACAAAAAAUUAAAAGAAUAAUAGAAAUCGAAAUAAAAAUAGCUCGAAAAAUAAUUUUCCUUUUAAAAAUAGAAAACUGAAAUUCCAGGAUGUUACAAAUAACUUCAGGAUUUCAAUUACAUGCAAAAGACAAGAGUUAGCAAGUAACUAAACCUUGGAAUUUAGAAUUUAAAUUUCAAGCCAGUGGUUAUUGUUGAACCUGUUACGAAGGAAAUGAAGCUCAGUCGACUGUGUGAUCGUCCGGUGUGGUUCACCUGAGUACCGUCGCUUGAUACAUUGAUCGGUUCCAUCUUACUCCGCAUUCCUAAUUGCCCGCUUCUCACUGGUGGCUGUCGUUUUCGUUUCUUUCGAAUAUGAAUUUUGUGUUGGGCUUUCGCAACUGUUAUUUGGGCCUGUAUACAGUAGUAUUAUCUCUCUCUCUCUCNNNNNNNNNNNNNNNNNNNNUAUUAUCUCUCUCUCUCUCUCUCUCUCUCUCUCUCUCUCUCUCUCUCUCUCUUUUCAAUAACCUGUCUUUUCUUUUUUAUUUAGAGAAGAUUCUACAACUUUUUGUUUCAAGACAUCUUUAUUUAUUUAUUUAGAGAAGAUUAUUUAUGAGGCUAUGUCAAAGAGAGAGCUUCUGCGACUGGAGUAGUUGACAUACCAUAGUUGAACGAAGCUACAACCCAUGGAUGGUCGUUAAUUGUUGGUGCUAAUCACGAAUCCCUCAACUGCAGAGUUUCUCCUGACCGAUCUAUCAAAGUUGAUUUUAACCCUAUCCCACAACCACUAUCCGGUUGCUGAAGCUCUAGCUCUGCGCAAUAGCCUCGUGUAUGCUAAUUAAAGAGCGAGGCUUCUCCAAGAUUGAAGUUGAGGGCGAUUCUAAGUUGGUGAUUGACGCCGUGAAUGGAGUGUCGACCCCUCUGUGGAAGUUACUCAAACUAAUUCAUGAUAUCAAAGUCUUGAGUAAUUCCUUUGAGUUUGUAUGCUUUCAGCAUGUGUUUAGGGAAGCAAACUUUGUGGCUAAUGCUUUAGCCAAUCUUAGAUAUAGGCUGAGUAACCUACGCUGCUAGGAGAAGUGUGUUCCCCCGGAAGUGUCUUCUGCUCUUGCCUUUGACAUUGUAAACCUUGGGUGCAUUAGAGACACCUCCAUCUAAUAUAUUUUUUUUUNNNNNNNNNNNNNNNNNNNNNNNNNNNNNNNNNNNNNNNNNNNNNNNNNNNNNNNNNNNNNNNNNNNNNNNNNNNNNNNNNNNNNNNNNNNNNNNNNNNNNNNNNNNNNNNNNNNNNNNNNNNNNNNNNNNNNNNNNNNNNNNNNNNNNNNNNNNNNNNNNNNNNNNNNNNNNNNNNNNNNNNNNNNNNNNNNNNNNNNNNNNNNNNNNNNNNNNNNNNNNNNNNNNNNNNNNNNNNNNNNNNNNNNNNNNNNNNNNNNNNNNNNNNNNNNNNNNNNNNNNNNNNNNNNNNNNNNNNNNNNNNNNNNNNNNNNNNNNNNNNNNNNNNNNNNNNNNNNNNNNNNNNNNNNNNNNNNNNNNNNNNNNNNNNNNNNNNNNNNNNNNNNNNNNNNNNNNNNNNNNNNNNNNNNNNNNNNNNNNNNNNNNNNNNNNNNNNNNNNNNNNNNNNNNNNCACUCUCUCUCUCUCUCUCUCUCUCUCUCUCUCUCUCUCUCUCUCUCUCUCUCUCUCUCUCUCCACCGUUGAGCAGCAACGAUUCUGGCAACACCGGACGGCGAGACCGCCACUGAAGUGAUCCUCUCCUCCUCCUCAACUCAGCCCAGUCCUUUAAUUCGGAAGACAUCCACUUUUGGCGGAGAUCGAUGGAGGAGGACGGUGACUAUCCUUCAUUGUUUUCCGGCGAGGGCUCAGGCUCCGAUCACUGAUCCACCUAGCGACGGUGAGUCCCUUCCUCCUCUCUUCCUUCUGCACAGUCUAGUGCUUUAUUUCCUUCAAAUCGAGACCUAACUCAGAAAUCCCCUUGUGUUUCUGAGUUUCUUGAGCUUCUUUUCCUGCGAUUGUGUUCUUCGUGUUCUGGUGGCGACCACGAGCUCCGACGAGCGUAGUUCAUCCUUGGAGAUGCCGGGACUUAGAGUUGGGAAGCUUUGGGGCAGUUGCUGUUGUGCAGCAUCGUGGCAAAGGGACUGCUUAUUGAUUUCAAGCAAGGAGAGGUUGCUGGGUUUGAGUGGUGUACAGAUUGGAGGUAAGGAGUUUGAUUUGGUCGGCUGUGUUGUUGUUUGUGUUGCGGUUAUUGAGUUGGAUUGUGACUAAAAUCAUUGUUGUGGUUGAUACUUGUCGAUGUCAAUAACUUGGUGAUAGGAGUUUAUGAGGAGGCUAUGGCAAAAUUCCGGUAAGUCGUCGGAAUCUGGCAAGAGAUUUCGACGAGGGCAGAAUCAUGCAGAGACUAUUGAGGUAGUUAUCGAUGUUUUUCCCUGCUAUUGUGUAUCGUUUCAAUAAUAGGAAAGUUUGUAGGUUGUAAUCGGAAAUCUUUCUAAGUGAGGAAAGUUUCUAUUUUAGGAAACUUUCCCUUUUUGGGAAACUUUCUAUUUAUGGAAACCCAUUGUUGGGUGCCCUUAGUGAUUUAUGGGGUGAAGUUGUGUUGAGAGGAAGUAUAUGGGGAUUGUAUGGGUGAAGAAACAAUUGUAAUUGUGUUGUAAUUGAGGAUUUCUCGGAUGAAGAAAUUGGAUAAUCGAGGAAUGGAUUUAGUGAAAAGGUUUGUUCUUAUUUAAGAUCUAAUUGAUUUCAAGUGAAGCAAAUAAUUGAUUUAUUAAAAUGAUUGUUGGAUUUGAAUUGGAUGGUUAAGAGUAAUCAAGGUAACCCGAAUUUUCAAGUCGAAGGUUAGAGUGGAAAAUGUUGAAACUUCGUUACUUGGCCAACCCUAAUUUAAUUGGUCAAUUUUGGUCAACUCAGGAAAUCUAGCCAAACUAGGAAGAAUUUGAAUCCAUGAUUAUUAUGGUGUUUGGUCUGACCGAUUUAUUCUUCUAUUUAUCGUCAGACGUGGGAUUGGCUAGAGAAUGUGAAUAGUUUGAGGCAGCGCUCGAGGAGUAUUCCGAGCAUUGGAAGACUUAGGCCUAAUACGGUGAGUGGACUUUUGUUUUAAAUAAUAUGCAUGCAAAUGGUUUAUUGUUGAGCAAUUUCUUUUGUUGGAGCAUUUGACGUCAUUUUAUUUUGACGAUUUCUUUUAUUUUGGAGAGUUACCGAAAAUGAGAUUUUCGGUGGAUAUGUAUAUGGAUUCUUAUGAGUAUAGUAUAAAUGCUAGCUAGCCUUACGUGUUUGGUCCGUCAUAAUAAGGUAAAAUUCCAUUAUGGCGUGACGUAAGUGUUAGACACAAGCGUCAUAGCCCUAUAUGAAAACUAUUUUCAUAUCUAGUUCAUAUAGAUUUUCAUAUAGGGAGUCCACACGUAUAUACACCCGUCCUCUUCGGUCAUAAUGAGGAAAAAUUUCAUUAUGGCGCGACGUGAGCGUUAGACGCAAGCGUCGUAGCCUUGUAUGAAUUUCUAUUUUUCUAUUUUGUUCAUAGAAUUCGUACAAGGAGUCUGACGAGUGUAAAUACAUACAUAUAUGUAUAGUUUAACCUGAGAUUCUGUAUUUUAUUAAGUUUUGGAGACUAGCUCAUGUAUUUGCCAGUUUAUGAGUUGAAAGCUUUUGAGCUGUCGCAUGCAGCAUAUUUUAUAUGGAAAUUAAAUUGGGGAAGCAUAAAGAAAUAUUGUUAUUAAAUUUAUUUUUGUCCACUCACUCUAACGUGUUUUCAAAUGUUUUCCCAUGCGCCAUUUGUUUUAAAAAUGCUCAGUAUGCAGGUUAGCUUAGUUGAGGUCGGGCGUACAUGAAGAAGAGACAUAGUCAAUAGUAUAGUUUCUGCUCAUUUCUAUAUUUCUAGUUCUUUUCUUCUCCAUUAGAGCUGUUCUGAACUGUGAUUGUUGGUUAUGGGAUUAUUCUUAUUAAGUUAGUAAAUAAAUUGGGAGAUGUUGUGAUUUGGGGAGCACGAAGGCUCCAGGAGUAGAGGGUUAUAGAUGGAUUUUUUCGAAGUGUUUGCAGGUAUUUCUAGGAAGGGUUGUCCAUUUUCAAGAGAGAUUAUGUCGAAUUUUCGGUAAAUUUUCCUUGGAGGUGGUCCCCGCAGGAUUUACUUCGGGUUUCAGGGUGAAAUUCGAGGUGGGUCCUGACACCAAGUGAGGAUUUUUAAAAAUGUUUAGGUGAUGUGAUAAUGAAAUUGGAAAAUAUCAAAUAACAAUUAAAACAUUCAUCUAACCAUUCAUUCAAAAGUCUACAUAUAAUUCUCGUUAUAAGUAGGAUGGCAAUGGGUAGGGUAGGAUACGGGGAUCAAAAUACCGUAUCCAUACCCUUUUACAUUUCUCAUCCCCGUACCCGUAAUUAGAUAAUGGGGAUUUCCCGUACCCGUACCCUUUGGGGAUUACGUUUCCAUACCCGUACCCGUACCCGUUAACAAUUAUGUAUUAAAUUAAAUUUUUUUUUAAAUACGAAAUACAUUAUAUAAAAGUAUGAAAUUAAAAUCAAAUACCAAAAUAAAUAAGUUUCAUGCUUCAAUCCAAUAAAAAUAAAUACAAGUUUUGGUUAAAACAGAACAAUACCGAUAAAUUUCAUUAAGAAAAUAAAAAUAUAUAAUAAAAAGGAAGGUCCGUUUAUUAAGAGAAUCACAAAUUUUUUUACAUAAAUAUUUAUUUAUAAAUUAUAUAUAAAUAUAUAUAAUAAAUUAUAUAAUUAUAUAUAAUAAUAUUUUCAUCCUUAAUAGGUGGGGAUAGGGACGAAUAUCAAAAUAUCAUACCCGCCCCGUACCCGAUUUAAGAAUCCGAAUACUGGGGAUCCCCAUCUCCAUUACCCAUUUAUAACCGUAUAUCUUCCUCGUUAGAGUCGAAUACCCGUGGGUACCCUACCCGCUAGGGAUUAUUGCCAUCCUUAGUUAUAAGGUUCUCAUUAGAAGUUUUCCCACUAAUGAAAUCGAAAAUUAGAAAGUCGCAACCUAGCUAUCUAUCAUGACGAAAACUAACAAAACCCGAUGAAGUAUCACACCAAGGAACUCUAGAUCUAACGUAUAUCUGUCUUUUGUGAUCCAAAAAACACGCGUACGACAUAUUACAUUGACUUACAACAUUUGGUGUACGGUAAUACCGUAUACCGUAUACCAUUUCCUAAACAUUUUCUCAAAAGUUAUACCAAGCACAACACCCAUAUAGGCAUAUUUAAGAAGUCCAAAAAGAAAUAAAGUUCAUUUUUCUCGGUCUUCACUAUCCGAUUUAAGUUUGUUUAACCCUAUACAGUCCAUUAUUUCAAGGAUCAAAACAAUUGAUAAUCGGAUUCGAUGCUAAUGAUCGACUUGGCUUUAAGGUGAUGGAAACCACUUCCAAUGGCCAGAAAAGACUUGAUUGGAGACUCCAAAAUAUAUAACUAGCUAGAUUCCGUAUUUCAUACCAAAUAGGAUCUCAAAUUAUAUAAAGUGAGAAAGCAAACUCAAACUAUCAAAAUGUUGUCGAAAUAUAUGGAUGGAGUUCUUGCAAAUUCUAUAUAUUUGAACCAAAGGAGAGUACGUACGUAGUACCUAUAGCUAUCUAAGGUUAGUCAGUUACUCAAUUUUAUUAGACUUCAUCAAUCGCUUUUCGUCUUUCACUCUAUAUAUGCCAUUUUGAAGUAGGUAUAACCAAGGAAAGGAAGUAGAAGAAGAAGGAAAUUUCAUUAUAAGCCAUACGAUUACAAGUGCAUAUAUAGUACGUAGUAGCUAGUUAUUGUCUUAGUGCGUUAGACCUCUCGUACUACAAGAGAGCCAUACAGGACUACCUUUAUUCAUUCUCUACCCCUUAAGCUAGCUUAGUGCCAAAACACUACGUGCCGCAUCAUAUUUUUACAUUUCGAUCAUCACAAUGAUUUAAGCAAUAGCCCAUCAGCUCUUCUGGGGCAUGGCAGCCGACCUUGAGGAGCUCAAGGCAACGAUCUCCUGCCUGUUGUACUUGAGGUUCCUAGCCUGCUGACGGUCCAUCUGGUAAGCGUUGGCGAGGACCACGUCGGGGAGUGAUCGCAGGACGGAGGUCCUACCAGCCAUGGUGUUGAUCAUGGCAUUGUCUUGGGUCUUAAAGGCAAUGUACUCGUAUCCAUUGCUCAUGGCCUUUUGCAACACGGCGUGGUUUUGCGGCACGAUGAAGAGCUGUCCCUGGCGGACCUGGUCGUCCAAGAUGCAGUCGCCAUUGUCGUUCACCACCUGAACCCUAGCGCUGCCCCUGAUGACGUAGUAUACUUCAUGGGCGUUCAAGUUCCAGUGUGGGCUGUAGAUAGCGUUCUGCAUUUACAACGUAUCAAUCACUUUUAAUUACUUAAGCUCAAACAAUUAAUUGGUAACUAAUUAAAAUGAACUAAUAAAUGCAUGGAAAAGAAUACUGACGUUGUAGAAGAAGCCUCUCUCAGCGCUGAGACGGAGGCGCCUGAGAAUAGGCAUGGUGAAGGCGUUGAGGGUGCUGAUGCGACCGGCUUGCGGGCUGAAGACGUCGGCCAUUGUAGGCCUUCCGAUGUUUUGUCUCAUCUUCAUGUGGCAGAAGAGCUCCUCCAUGCCGUUCUCUUCAUAUUGUCCUUGUUGUCCCUGCAUUUGUGUUCCUUGGAUUUGCCUUUCCUCCCUCAUUGACUCUGGGGGCUGGAUGAAGUCGAGGCGUCCCUGUACCCUAACAAUCUGUGGCCUGUUGUCGUUCAUUCCCUGGAGCUGCUGGGCGGUCUGUUGGUCGAUGUUAAGAGCGUCGGCGAGGAGCUGUGUGUCGAAGCCGGAGAAGACGUUGUUGUAGUUCCCCUGCAUUUGGUGCCUGCUCUUUCCUUGUUGUCUCCGGAUCCGUGGGCUUUGGCCUUGUUGGGUGAACUCAUCUUGUGGGUUACCAGCAAGGUAGAAUCUCUAUAUAUAAAGAGAGAUUAAGCAGCAACAAGUCAGUGAACAUUACCCUAAACUAUUUUUGGUACAUGCAAGAAUAUAUACUGAAUGAAAUGUGGUAAGAAAUUGUACCCUUGGGAUUCGGUCCAGCUGGUUGUGCUGGUUGCUCAUGUCAAGAAGACUGACGAAAACAAGAGGUUCGUUAGCGUCGUUGUAACUCCAGCAGGUGACACCAGCAGGAAUGGCGAUAACAUCACCUUCCCUGACGCGUCGGACCUUCUGGUGACGGUCGAGCUGAUCAUAGCUCUCUUGCUGGCCUUGCUGGCCCAUUUGUCCCUCUCGGCGUAUAAUCUGUUGCCGGCGGCCUUGUUGGCCUUGAGAUUGUCGUUGCUCUUCAACAGAUUGUUCGGUUUCUUCGAAAGUCUCGGGACAGCCGGGGAGAACCAUUCCUAGAUGACCCAUACCUGCAAUACUCAUAGCAAUAAGUUAACAGUCCAUCGACAAACGCUAGCUAGCUACAUGCAAUUUCGGUAUAACUAAUGAAGUGAUAUGAUAUUACCUCGGACGACGUAAACGAGUCGUGGAGUGUUAACGUAAGAAGGCAGGUGGAGGCCGUUGUUCUCAAUGGUGAUCUUCUGAACGGCGACGCCAGCGCACUGGAAGUCAUCCUGGUUGUAGUCCCAGGACUCGAUCCGACCUGCUUCAGUCUCAAUGCGGUUGUCGGGCUCGCGGGCUUGGAUCCGGUUCAGCAUGCACUCAUUUUGCUGGCUGAACUGAGUUUGUCGCCGACUGGCUAAGCAGCCGUGGAAGAGAACAAGUAAGCAAAGAGAGAAAGCGAGAGCUAAGUGCUUGGCCAUUGUGAUGAUCAAUGGCAGAUAGCUAGUUGUGGGUUGUGAUGAUGAAGUGGAGAGUAGAGCGUUGGUAUUUAUAGGAGAUGAGAGGAGGUGAGGGUGAGAAUAGUGCAAAUGAUGUGUAAGGAAUCUCAUGCCAUUCUUCUCUUUGCAUGGCUAUUAGUAUUUCACAUUCUUACACCUCAUUUCUCUUCCAGGGCAGGUGGCUCUUGGCUUCAGAGAAGGUUUAAAGUUAUAAGAACAAGGUGGCAACCAGGUGGGGUGGCCAUGAUUGUUUGCAAGUGAAGCAAAUUUCACCUCCCCGAACCUCGUGCAAUGCAUGAACUCGAAUAAUUAACUCAUGAAUCAGAUCUGAAACUGUUUCAUGUUCGUGAAGAAAUAUUACAUCAGUACCAUCCCGAACUAUCUAUAAUUUACGGAGGUGAAACAUAAGAUGAUAAGAACUUUAUCAUCUUCCAAAUAGUAAUAUCCAUAUUCCUUUACUCCCUUUGUAUGUAAUUCAAAUGUAGUAUUUAAGACUUUUUGAACAUUUUUCAAGAAUGAUCUCUGGACUCGGCGCGCUCUUAUGUAUAAGAGUUCCUUUACCUGCUAAUAAAUCUAAAUAACUUAUAUAUAUAUAUAAACGGAUUUUCUCAGCUGCGGACGUCCGCACCAAUUUUUUGGUGCGGAUUUCUAUUUUUUCAUCACUUUUCGAUCGAAUUUCCUCAUCUCCACCGUCUAGUAUCUAGAUAAUAUUGUGUAGAUCAUCUCUGCAANNNNNNNNNNNNNNNNNNNNNNNNNNNNNNNNNNNNNNNNNNNNNNNNNNNNNNNNNNNNNNNNNNNNNNNNNNNNNNNNNNNNNNNNNNNNNNNNNNNNNNNNNNNNNNNNNNNNNNNNNNNNNNNNNNNNNNNNNNNNNNNNNNNNNNNNNNNNNNNNNNNNNNNNNNNNNNNNNNNNNNNNNNNNNNNNNNNNNNNNNNNNNNNNNNNNNNNNNNNNNNNNNNNNNNNNNNNNNNNNNNNNNNNNNNNNNNNNNNNNNNNNNNNNNNNNNNNNNNNNNNNNNNNNNNNNNNNNNNNNNNNNNNNNNNNNNNNNNNNNNNNNNNNNNNNNNNNNNNNNNNNNNNNNNNNNNNNNNNNNNNNNNNNNNNNNNNNNNNNNNNNNNNNNNNNNNNNNNNNNNNNNNNNNNNNNNNNNNNNNNNNNNNNNNNNNNNNNNNNNNNNNNNNNNNNNNNNNNNNNNNNNNNNNNNNNNNNNNNNNNNNNNNNNNNNNNNNNNNNNNNNNNNNNNNNNNNNNNNNNNNNNNNNNNNNNNNNNNNNNNNNNNNNNNNNNNNNNNNNNNNNNNNNNNNNNNNNNNNNNNNNNNNNNNNNNNNNNNNNNNNNNNNNNNNNNNNNNNNNNNNNNNNNNNNNNNNNNNNNNNNNNNNNNNNNNNNNNNNNNNNNNNNNNNNNNNNNNNNNNNNNNNNNNNNNNNNNNNNNNNNNNNNNNNNNNNNNNNNNNNNNNNNNNNNNNNNNNNNNNNNNNNNNNNNNNNNUAUAUAUAUAUAUAUAUAUAUAUAUAUAUAUAUAUAUAUAUAUAGGUUUCAACCGCAAGAGGUUAGUUCAGCACUAGUAAAUAUAUAAUUACAUGGCACAUGGAAGUGAUGGAACAAAGAAGUGAUACGCAAAUCAUCAAACUAUCACAUACGGCCUGAAACUUUGUGCUAAUACGUACAUAUGCCCUUCAAAUAUCCCUUAAACUUGUCAUAUUGUCAUAUAUAUUGACAUGCAUUUCAUUUGCAUCAAUGCAGAAUCAAACCCUUCGUAUAAAAUAAAAAUAAAAAUGCAGAAUCAAACCCUGACGUUAAUACAAGGAUAUUAGUUCCUAUGUCACUAACCGAUCGAUUUGGUGCAUCAAGUGCUCACCCAUGUACAAUCCCAAACAUAUGAUUCAUAUGAUAUGAAAUAGGCCAUCACAACCGAGAACUCACCGCCCCUCCUCUAUUUAACCCUGAGCUUAGAUAUCAAUCAUAUGAAACGCAUUCAUUUCCACAAGUGAAUUAAAAACCUCUGAAGGCUUAAUUAGCCGUUUAGGGUUCAUAUAUGGAUCUCUCAGUAAUUUGAAUUUGGCCACUUAUUCGAUCUUGUCAAACGAAGGACGCAAGGCAAUCUUUAGCUACUAGUUGUCCUUAGCGAUGAUCAUUAAGCACGUACGUACAGUUUCUAUAAUAAACUUUCUUAUUUCUUUCUAUUACAAUGGUUUGAAGCUUUUCUGUGCUAAUUGAUUCGUAAAGCUCGAGAGUACGUAGCUAUAUAUAUCCCAAUCAUUAAGGACCCUAUUAAUCAAAGUGAACAAUUAGCUUCAGGAUAACUGAGUAGGAAUAAUGGAGUAGCACCGGGAAAUAAGUCGGAAAAUACGUUCGUCCGGACUAAGUACGUAUGUGUGCGUCCGGACUCUCUUUUAUUUACUUUCUUUUGUCAAUGCAAAUCAUAAUCUUAACCGUUCAAAAGUUGAAUUAACCUAUAUAGAUCAUCUCUACAAAAUUUCAAUGUAAACAAACAUCGUUUUCUUAGUCGAUUACAUUAAACAAAUUGACAGUUCUAGUGAAAGUUAACAGUCUCAUGAUCAGUCGUCCAUUUGUUUGAUACAUUCGGCUUAGAAAACAAUGUUUGUUUACAUUGAAAUUUUGCAGAGGUGAUCUCCAUAUAUAGGUACGUAAAUAAGAAAGAGUUCAGACGCACACGUACAAACUAGUCCGAACGCAAAUAUUUUCCAAAUAAACUAGUCCGAACGCAAGUAUUUUCCAAAUAAGUUAAAUGACAAAAGCCAAAGUUUACAAGUACAUAAGAUUAGACCGAGUGUAAUGAUAAAAUGCGUGCACCAAAUCGGAAAUUGAGACUGAGAAUAAGAUUAAACACUCUGUAGUGUGUACUUACGUAGAGUUUAUCUAUCAAACUUGUUGUCGAAUUUGCUUUGAGGCAAAACCACCUAGCUACUUCAAAUUGGCGUGUAAGAUGAUGCUUAUAGUUGUGGACUUGUGGGUAAUGAGUUGAGAUUAAGUUAGAGUGACUGCGAGAGCGGUAUGUUGGAGUCUUCAAAAUAUAACCCAUUUUACAUUUCUCCUAUUCUAUGAUUAUUCUUUUUUCUUAUCCUAUGUUCUAUAAGUAGAUAACACAAUUGUCAAUUCUUUUAUUUUUCUUCUCUGUUCUAAAAAAACAAAAGAAUGUCUAAAUGUUGAAUCAACCAUAUAACAAAUUAAGCAAUACACUAAAAGAAGCUGCAGCUACCAGCUUGCUUUGGUCAAUUUGUUAUAUACUAAAGAUAUACCAAUUAUUCAUCAACGUCGACUCGGGUCAACGUACCACAUAGAUAUGCAAUAUGAAAGGGAAGAGUAUAUCAUCAAGGCAAACCAAAAAAGUGAAAACUUCAUUAGAAAGCAUAACGUUACAAGUACGUACAUAUACGUAGCAGCUAGUACUAUAACUUAGUACAUUGGAUCUCCCAUACUACAAAAGAGCCAUACAAGGCACUUUUAUUCCCUCGAACUGACGAACUCUACCCCUUAGCUAGCUUGAUGCUAAAACACUACAUGCCGCAUCACAUUUUUACAUACAUAUAUUGAUAUAUUUAAGCACUAGCCCUCUCGGACUGGAAAGAUCUUGAGGAGCUCAAGGCAACAGUCUCCUGCCUGUUGUACUUGAGGUUCCUUGCCUGCUGACGGUCCAUCUGGUAAGCAUUGGCGAGGACCACGUCGGGGAGUGCCCGGAGGACGGAGGUCCUGCCAGCCAAGGUGUUGAUUAUGGCAUUGUCUUGUGUCUUGAAGGCAAUGUACUCGUAUCCAUUGCUCAUGGCCUUUUGCAGCACGGCGUGGUUCUGCGGCACGAUGAAGAGCUGUCCCUGGCGGACCUGGUCGUCCAAGAUGGUCUCACCGUUGUCGUUCACCACCUGAACCCUAGCGCUGCCCCUGAUGACGUAGUACACUUCAUGGGCGUUCAAGUUCCAGUGUGGGCUGUAGAUAGCGUUCUGCAUGUACCACAUAAUAACCAUAAUUAAAACUGCUAAAUUAAACUCCACCAUAACUUGAUUAGACUUAGUUGAUAGACAAAUCAAUAUGCAUGCAUAUAUACUCACGUUGUAGAAGAAGCCUCUCUCAGCGCUGAGACGGAGGUGCCUGAGAACGGGCAUGCUAAGGCCAUUGAGGACGCUGAUGCGACCGGCUUGUGGGCUGAAGACGUCAGCCAUUGAAGGCUUGCCGAUGUUCUGCUUCAUCUUCAUGUGGCAGAAUACCUCCUCAAAACCAUUCUGUCCUUGUCGUCCUUGUUGUUGUCUUUCCUCCCUCAUUGACUCUGGGGGCUGGACGAAGUCGAGGCGUCCCUGAACCCUAACGAUCUGUGGCCUGUUGUCGUUCUGUCCCUGGAGCUGUUGGGCGGUCUGUUGGUCGAUGUUGAGAGCAUCGGCAAGGAGUCUGGUGUCGAAGCCGGCAAAGACGUUGUUGUUGUUGUUUCCCUGUUGUUGGUGUCUGAUCUUUCCCUGUUGUCUCGCGAUCGAAUGUCGGCUUUGGCCUUGUUGGGUGAACUCAUCUUGUGGGUUACCAGCAAGAUAGAAUCGCUGCUCAUACAGAUCAAGCAGCCAUUGAGUUAAACGAUUUUGUAACAUUGUAUCCAUAUAUAUAAUCAGGUGUCAGUAAGAAAAUCCAUAUAUAAUUAUAUAUUAUCAAAACGUUGAUAAGAAAAGGUACCCUUGGGAUUUGGUCAAGUUGGUUGUGAAGGUUGCUGGUGUCUUGAAGACAGACGAAAACAAGAGAUUGGUCACCGUCGUUGUAGGACCAGGUUGUGACUCCGGCGGGGACGGCGAUAACGUCACCUUCCUUGACGGGUCGCACUUUCUGGUGUCGGUCUAGCUGUUCGAAGCUCUCUUGUUGUCCCUGUUGGCCUUGUCGGCGUCCAAUUUGCUGGCGACCUUGUUGCCCUUGCCCUUGCUGUUGCGAGCCCUGUAGUUGUUCCUCGUAAGAUUGCUCGGUUUCUUCGAAAGUCUCGGGACAUCCGGGGAUCACCAUUCCUAGUUGACCCCUACCUGAAAUAGAUCACGUAUAAAAGACAGUAAGUUAACCUUGCUCAAGCACAACAUGCAAUUUAGUCAUAAGUUGAUCAGAAAAAGCGACGUUUAGAUAUUACCUUGGACAACGUAAAGGAGGCGAGGACUGUUGGUGUAAAAAGGCAAGUGAAGGCCGUUGCGCUCGACGGUGAUUCUCUGAACGGCGACUCCGGCGCACUGGAAGUCAUCCUGGUUGUAGUCCCAUGACUCGAUCCGACCCGCCUCGGUCUCAAUGCGGUUGUCGGGCUCGCGGGCUUGGAUCUGGUUCAGCAUGCACUCAUUUUGCUGGCUGGACGGAGAUUGUUGGCGAUAGGCUGAGCAGCCAUGAAAGAGAACAAGCAAGCAGAGAGAGAGAGCUAAAGACCUGGCCAUUUUGUAGAGUGGAUACUAGCUAUAGCUACUUGGGUGAGGAAGAGAGUGGAGAGGGGUUGGGAUUUAUAGGGUAGCGAAAGAGGUAAGGGAGGGACACGUACGUUGAGGAAGGGGUUGCAUGUGUAUAAGGCAUCUUCAGCCAUCUUUCUGUUUGCAUGGUGUGAAGGUUUGAAGGGUUUACACCUCAUUUCUGUGGUCUGAGGCAGGUGGCUUUGGUGAAGAAGAAGAUACAAAGUGCAUGGGAUAUAUGUGGCGAGAGGAUGGAGUCUCCAGUAUUGUCCGGAUGCAAACUGAAACUGCUUUUGAAGUUUACUGCCUUAAUUUUGGUAAAUAUGGAGAAAAAUACAUACAGUUUGUGAAAAGUAAAAUAAAUAAAGGAACUCCAUCAACUCAUCUGAACAUUGGGAAUUUGGGAUAAAUAACUAGUUAUCUCGAUCUGAUCUCAGAUAUGCAUGGCCUAAACUUACAUCCUACACUACCAUAGCUGCAAUGUAUAUUAAUACACAUGAAUCUAACCAAGCUCCUUAUAACUAGAAAAUAGAAUUGUUCUUUUUUUUCUUCUUUAAUUUGUAUCUUGGGUAUCAGUACUUUAACUGAUAUAUAACAACUGGAAAACUGUACAACAGCGUCUUGUACGGAAGUGCAAUGUAGGACGUAUUUUAUAUAGGAAAAUUCAAGGUAUUGGACUGUUUGCUAUACAAUGUAUUUUUAAAUAUUUUCGAUCAUCGGUUCUUGAAUUUUAAGAAAUAUGGUAACCGGUUUGGGGUUGUCUACGUAUAGAGAUGUGUAUAUUAUACUCAUUUUACAACUAAUUAAACCAAACUUAUAAUUUAAUGAAAAUAAAUAUACGACGAUGACAACAAACCUACCAGUUGAUUAUGUCAACUCAUUUGAAAUUACUAAUGAAGACACAUAAGCGUAAAAAAUAAUAAUAAUCCUCUUUUUCUUUCAUUACAGUAGUCUUCAUCUAGAAGAAAAAAUUCUUUUCCAACAUAAACACUAACAGAUACGUCGAACUCCAUGGAAGAUAGUGACAUUGUUUUGGAGUAUAUGCACAAUGUAUGAGUUUCUUGUUUUUUUUUUUUUUUUUUUUUGUUUCUUUUUUUGUAUGAAUUCACAAAUGUAUUAUUGUAAUUGUUUCAAUAAGAAGGAAACUUGUUGUCGACUAAGCAGAGUUUGCCCGUCCUAUUACUACAAAGAUUUUGAAGUUGUUUUUUUCUUUGUGUAUACUAAACACUCGUAAAUUUUCUUUAUUCAAAAGAAAAGUGUAUACUGACAAUCUCUUCUCCCUAAUAGAAAUAGCUUUAUGAUAUAGCGGCAAAAGACAAAUCUUGAGUUUUGGAUUUCGUUAUAAGAACUUGAUAAUUUUAUAAGAAAGUAAAUUAAUGGGUUGUUAUAUAUAGAGCUUGAGUAUAUAUACAUGGACUCUUUUUGAUAAUUUUAAGAGAAUGUUCUAGGAUAUUCUGUAUCUUUCUAGAUAUUCUUUAUGUGUGCAUUGGCCUUAUGCCAAUAGGAUAUGUAGUUAGACUAAUUCUAUGUAUUCAUAUCCUUACCAUAUUGGUAUUGUGUAAUUCCCUAUAUAAAGGGCUCAUAUCAAUGAAUAAGAUGAUGAUUCUCUUGCUAUCUCUUUCUCUACACUUUAUAUUUCAUCACGUUAUCAUGCACUUUGUUAUAACCCUAGAGCCAAUAGCCCACCAUUUGUUUUCCAAACCCUAAAAUCUGACAGCCUUGUUUUUCCUGAUUUCCGACCAAAAUUCCGACUGCCCUCUGCCGGAGUUUUAUAUCCCCAGAAAGCUCUCUCCGUCCUGGAUCCAACGCCGCCGGCCUCACCCUGAGAACCGGCCGGAAAGUCUUCGAACCGGCCGCUAGAAGAUUCCAGACCGCCGCCGCUACCGACCACCGGUUCACCACCUUCCCUUGCUCCGAUCAACCUGAAAUUUUGACAGCAGCUUCCCCAUCCAGAGCUGCUCAUUCUGUCAAAUUUUCAGCCCCAAAUUCGAAGUAUAAGUAGGCGAAACGUUAUUUCUCCUCUCGGCAGCCUCUAGAAACCAAAGAUUUCAAGAUUGGUCGUCUUCCAAGGAAACCAGAAAGGUAUGUUUUGAAACCUUAAACUUUUCCAAGUUCAAUAACUCGGGGAGGAUAAAAUCUUUUCCGCCCUUCUCUAUCUCCAUUCUAUGCUUGGGAUUUUGUGUGUGCAGGUACCAAAAAUCCCGGAAUUUUAUUCGCGGGUCAAGAGUGUAUUUGAUCACUCUUGCUUCCUUGUCCAGGUUGUGUAUGAUCAACCCCAACCUUUCUCCGGAUUGUGUUUGAUCAAUCCGAGGCCUUUUCCGAAUUGUGUUUGAUCAAUUCGCGACUUUUUCCGGAUUGUGUAUGAUCAAUCCGAAGGACAAACCAUUAAAAGCAUUGUUUGUGACCUCUAUCGAGUCUCAUAACAGCUUGGUUUUGUAUGCAAGAGCAACGUAACAUUCUGCUCAUUGAGUUUUGACGUACUCGAUACCUAAGACGAAUCUUCGCUUGGUAUCUGUGGAACAUUUCACUGGAAAGGAUUAAACAACAUAUUUUGACCCCCAGGCUAACAAGCCUAGAUGCCGAGAUUUCACAUCUCAUGCGCUCAAAGUCUUUGACGCGCCACAUCGACAAGCCUUCAAUGGCAAUCUGUGUAAAAAGUAAUGACCACAAAGUACUAUGGAAUGCACUCAUGGAGCGUUUCUUGAAACGUCCAUAUAACUCUACUUGUUGAGUUAUUAGUCAAGUGGAUUACUUACCGCCUUAAUUGACUACAUAUUGUCGAUGAUCAUUUGUGGCAUCAUGAUCCAUAACCUUUAGCGGAUUCGAUCAUCAUCAAGUUCUCUAGGUCCUCCAAGUUGGUUUGGAAUUACCAACGAGACUUGAUUUUGAUCAUACAAACGGGAAUUGUAUAUAUACGCUAAUGUGAUAAAUUUAUUUAGGAUUAUCCCCUAAAUGUGGGAACAACAAUAUGGGUCAUGACAACGGCAGAAAACGUCGUGCCGAUGUCUAGAAAAGAGGGGGAGGUGUCACCGGCUCUAAUAGCAACACUCCCGGUCUAGACACCAUUUUGUCAAAACUACUCACGUCAGCUCAUGACAACGCAACCAUUGUGGAUCUUCGGAUCACUGGUUCAAGAUUGUCAAGCUCCUUCAAAUUGUGAAUGCAUACAAAAAGGUAUAGAAAAUCAAUAUGAGGACAAGAACAUCAUCCUCAUGAUCGCGAAUUUCAAAGAUUCGGAUCCUGCUCUAGCUACCCAUGACUUUGACGUCAUCGACUAGACAUUGAUUUUCGUUCCAAGCUAUAUGUACUAAGGCGUUGAGACCUUGAUGUACUCACAUUAGCAAUAACGAAUGCCUUGAGAAUUUUUUCGAAGUUAUAAAACUAUUCUCCUCUUAUGGUUCGUAUUGAUUUACAAACAAGAUUUACAUUUUUACAUCGUCCUUAGAAGCAUGGCAUAUUUACAAUCUACAUGGUUAGAUUGUGCAGUUUUGGUCUCUUCCAAGUGGAGAUGACGCACGCCCUUGCAUCCUUAAGUAGGAUCGCUAACGUGUUUCCGGUUAAGUCUUCUACCCUAUAGCAGAUUUUUCAUCAUCAAUUGUUCAACUAGGCUCAUCCAAGCUCAGUGUGAUGUCUUAGAAUUGCCCGAAAUUAAGGAGAUAGUGGUUUCAAGUGUGCCUCGCACUACCGACCCUCCACGGACAUGCCUGGUCAUACUGACUUGGAGUUACCGAAAGCUUUUGAUUUUGGAUCCCCCUACGCUAUUAAACCAAUUGCCGUCUUGCAAAAGAUGUUGAAGACUUAUCAAAAACCGGAAAAUUAUCAUCAUGAUCUAAUCCUCUAGGUCCUCUGAGUUAGUUUAUGUUCAUGUCAGGGAGAUUUUGCUAACUAGUCAUGGAGUUUACGACCUUAGAAUGACCGAAAGGACUUUGUUUUGAUCAUACACACGUCACUUGUGGCUAAGGCAAAAUCCUACACGCCACUUGCAAGCUUCACAGCUUCGCACAUGCCAAUUCUGCGAAAAACAGCAAUCUGUCCCUUCUGGACAGUCAACUUCGUUUGCGUUUUGUGAACAGCUCCGGACGAACCAGACAAUAAGCUUUAUAUCAUUGGAAAGCUCUAUGAGUCUAGUUUUCAGAACUUUUCGCGGUUCAUCUAUAUCUAUUUUAACAAGGAAGUUAUGGCUGUUUUAGUGCGCAAAAGUCAUUCUGCGCGGAAAUUUUUAUGCACUCUCGGGAUUGCAGCUUUUCGUAGCUUCUUUCAAUCCUUCUAAAUAGUUCAAGUGGAACUAUUAACUAGCCUAUCUACUCCUUCUUGUAGAUAUGUCUCAUCGAGACAUUGAGUGCUUCGCAGAUAGUGGAACUAUCCAUAACAUUCUAAGGAACCGGCAACUAUCUUUGGAUUUUGUGUCUUUGUAAAUCUUCUGUGACUACAAUGAUUGAAUCAUACCGGUCAUUCAAGGACGCGGUUUAGCUUAAAUCUUGAUGCCUCAUGGAACCAUGAUCAAUGUCACAGAUACCCUCUAUGCAUUGAGAGGCAAUCGAACCAUAUUGAGCUCUAAAGACAUUCCUGCUAAUAGUUUUCAUUUGAAAACACAUUGUGAGAAUGAACAAGAAUUCUUUUGUGUAUACCUUCUCAUGAAUGCGGACUGAAGUGCAUCUUGGAGAAAUUCAUGAGUCAAUCUAGUGGACUGUAUGUCACUAUGAUUCGAAUAUGAUUCGAAUAUCGAAUCUCAUGUUGUCACCAAACAUGAUAUUUGGGACACUGACUCAUAUAGGCUUUGGUUUUAACCAAUUAAGGUCAUCCUAGAAGAGAUAUAAUGGUCCAAAUUUUGAGAAAUUCUCAUGGACAUCCAUUCUUCCGCUCAAAACAAAGACAUUCGAGAUCUAGCAUCACCAUGAAGCAUGGUGGUGACCCGGGGGACAUUGACGUCACCCGAACAAGGCUCCAACUUCCCGGAGGCCGUCCGGUCAAUUCCUCAAGCAACUGAGGUGCACCAGCCUUUCCUCGAUGUCGCAUUGGCCCCCUGCAAUGCUUAUUACUCGUUUUGAAAGCCUAUUAUUUAGCUAAAUUAGGAGUGAGACCCUCCUACGCUAAAUAACACAAAAGUGAACAUUCUAUUCUUACAUAAAAUUAUGUAGAUAGAUACAACCAACUUGCGAACAUCUUUUAUGUUUUAUGGUGUUGGUUGAAGUGUUAACACACUGGUCAUGUGUUACACUAUUAUCUACUGCUUAUGUUGCUUAUACUUCUACGGGCUCACUACCCAUUCUUUAAAGAAGUUUAUCGGGAUGUAAGUUGAAGUGUCCUGUACCCCAUGUUCACACGCAAUACGGUCUCACCGAGGCUACGACUAAGCAACUUUAGCUUGUCGCUCGAACAUUAUUGAUGCGCACCAAUCUUUCUAUUGCGUCUUGGGGCUAUACAAUAUUUGCAUGCAGCUUUACUAUUCAUCUACAACUCACCAUCAUUGAAUAUUUUUGUACUACAGCUCGUGACUGUGUACCAGGAUUGCAAUCCUUGAGCUCAAACAAGAUUGAAACGGAUCUCCAAUCCUUGAGCUCAGCUAGAUAUUUAUUCUAGGUGUCAAAUCGCACUGCCACUGAAGGACAAUGAUGGGUCAUUUGAGAUGAAUAAGUAUUUAGGUUGGAUAUGAAUCUCCACCUAUAAUCCGCAUAUGUAGAAACCUUGUCAGACGAUCUCUUUCACCGCUAUAUUGCGGAUUGUCACUUUGAUGAGACAAUAUUCUCGCCGUUAGGGGGAGAUAAGAGCACAAGUGUUCAAGUGGAACGACGUGAAUUGUCGUGGUUUGUCCCCACUAAGUCUCAUCUUGAUCCCAAAUGCUUAAAGUGUUAAAGUGACGAGAUCACAUGCAGCAAAUAUGUCUGUAAGGAUUGAUGUCCUUUUCAAAGGACAUGGCGCGACCAAAAGGUGUUGGUCUUGACGCCAUCACCAUGGAUGGUGAUAUAGUGACGCCAUAUAGUGGCAAAAUUGGUGUCACAAAGCCGUGUGGCUCCCUAAAAGGAAGGAGACCUUUAGGUUCGAUACUUUCUCGCACUAGAAAGAAAACGAGCUUGGCACAACCUGAUCCAUUGAUCAGUGAUACUCAAAUCCGUCUCAUGAAGUCUGAAUUGUGAUUAUCGUUGGGGGACGCCUCAACGUCAAAUCCAAUCCAUAUAGAGAUCUCUACACGUAUUACACUAGUGUACAUGAGGACGUGGGAUAAUGAGUCUACUAUCGAACCACCCUUCGUUGAUGGAUAUCAACUUAGUUGAUUGGCCUAAUGGAAAGAUGUGAUCCAGCAUAACAAAGAGAUAGGUCCUUGGGCAGGUGAUGCCGACACCGCAAGCUAAACCCUAUCAACUAUGCCUUUGUUAGAUAACGUAGUGAGAACAAGAGCUUAGACUCACCUUAUGACGCAAGGUAUCUCACUAACACGCACUGAGAUCGACUACGAUAAGAUAUGCUUUCGUAAUGGAUGUCAUUGAACUCCACUACUUUGUCAGUUUGGUAGUUUCCGAAUAACUGAACAAGCAGCCUAUGAAUGUGAUCGUAAUAACAUCUCUACGGGAUCAGAGAUAUGCAUGAAGGUCUUGAACAGACUUCAUUCAUCCAAAUCAAGUGGCUCCAGACCACAGGAGCAUGUGUUUGCUAAAUGUAUUGAAACGCACAUGGACUCCACUUGAUUUGGAAGGGAUAUGGUGAAUUAUGCAUUUGCGUGUUCAUUCAAGAUUUACAUGGACUCUUGAUGGAUCAAGAGAUGCCAAUAUGUAUCAACAUCCGAAGAAAAAGAUCUUGGGAAGACACGGUCUCGAUAAGACACUCGAUGACUGUAUUGAUGAUGAUUUUUCAUCAAUCGGCUUAGGUGCUCUAACGAAAGUGAGGCCUACAUAUACUCCCAUGAUUAGUCAAAGUCUUUACUCUAAAGAGAGAUCCGUUGUUUUGUCUAAAGCAUGAUGACAAAUAUGUGUUAAGAGAUGGAGUUCCCAUCUAAGUACAAUUAGACGCAUCAAUGUACUCAACACAAUAUGAAAGACUUGACAUCUCAUUCGCUAUGAAAAGUUGUAAAGCUAAGUAUAGUUAUGCGCCCACGUAACGCCAAUGUAAUGGCAGUAACUCUUUUUUCAAUACUUAAUGGUAUGAAAGGUUGAGGCUAAUUCUAUCCCUACAUAAGAAAGACACAUCAAUAGCGAAAUCAAAAUCUGCCAAGUUUCGUAGGUCAACUUCCACGGGACCUACAAGAAAUCUCACUCACUAGAAAAUGGUGAAAUUGGUACCAUUGGAAAGUUCUAUGUGUCUACUUUCCAGGGACACCAACCAUUUGUUCAUACCUAUCAUAUUGAGUGAGUUAUGGCCGUUUUCAUAAAGUAUGACGAAUCUGUCCGAGAAUCUGAUUUUGGCAAAACAGUCAACUUCGACGGGACUUUGUGAAUAGCUCCUGAUGAAUCAGAACAUGUGUAAUAUACAGUUGGAAAGCUAAAUGAGUCUAGUUUCCAAAACCGUUUACGGUUCAUUCAUAUGUAUUUCCUAGAGGAAGUUACGACUGUUCUAGUAACUGAAGGUCAUGCUGCGCGGAAAUCUGAUUUCCUGCACAAACUUAUGUUUUGAGUUCACAAGCGGCCUUCUCCUCAAGAUCUAAGUGUAAAAGAUCAUUUGAGGACAAUACGGCAUGAUUUAGUUAAUCAUUGCCUAAUGCCACAUUUGAAGACAUGUUAAAGAGCAUUGACAUGCUAAGUUGUUGAAAUUUCCGUGAUUAGUAAAAAUCAGGAAUAGCCCUAUGAUUGAUGUAAAGAUCAGGGGGAGGUGCAAACUUCAGGGGGAGUCUAGCACAUACAUACAUGUCACUAUCAAAUGUGAAUGGUGCGUUGUACUCUUUUUCUCCUACGAUCAAGGUUCAGUUUUUCUCCCACAUGGUUUUUGUGACUUGACGAGGUUUUUAACGAGGCAACAGAUCAGCACCAUCGGCAUAUCAGAGCGGCACAAGGGGGAGUGUUCUAGGAUAUUCUGUAUCUUUCUAGAUAUUUUUUAUGUGUGCCUUGGCCUUAUGCCAAUAGGAUAUGUAGUUAGACUAGAUCUAUGUAUUCAUAUCCUUACCAUAUUGGUAUUGUGUAAUUCCCUAUAUAAAGGGCUCAUAUCAAUGAAUAAGAUGAUGAUUCUCUUGCUAUCUCUUUCUCUACACUUUAUACUUCAUCAGAGAAUAAUGUUUUUCUUGAUUUUAUUGGACUAUGGGCGUUCUGGGAAAAUUGAGGAGGUGUAUAUAACAUUUUAGUUAUUUGUAAAAGUAAAUUUGAGGUCCAUUAAACAAGAAGAUCCAACAGCCGUUUUUAGAGAUAUAAAUAGAACCUCCCAUGACGGAAUGAUAUUACAGUGAAGUUGAAAAAAAAAAAAAAAGUCACAAUGUGCUUGACCUAUAUAUAUAUAUAUAUAUAUAUAUAUAUAANNNNNNNNNNNNNNNNNNNNAAAAAAAGUAAAAACUAACAUAUGNUNUACUACUAUAUAUAUAUAUAUAUAUAUAUAUAUAUAAACCAUACUUUCUUGUAUCAUCUUCAAAAAUAAGGUUCAAAUUAACAGCUAAACAAAACAUCGAUUAUCGUACGUUAAUGUUUCCUUUAGUUAUAGACUACUAGCAGAAAUCCGUAAUAUAUAUAGCUCCACAAUAACUAGUAGUGAAGUAUCUACGUGCAUGCAGAGCUAUCUAUUUGUUCUGUACAUGGGAAUGGUGGGUUUGGCUUUAUACCGAUAAAGAACUCUCCUGUCCUUGAAAUUCCAGUUCUCAAAGGUCACGAAUAUCUUCCCUGGUUCACUAAAGUAGAAGGAGUUUCUCACACUCUCUCCUUGCAGUCUCUUCUUGUCUUGGAUUAGAAUGUUGUACGACCCUUCAUCAUCAGGAAGGAACUCUUCCUUGUACAACACGUCCCAUCCCACCACAGUUAGAUCCCACACCAUUGUCAAUCCACCCUAAUCAAAUGAAAACACCCCAAAAAAUGAAAAUUAUUAGUUAACAACAAGAUUCAACUCAUCAUUCGAUUAAACACGCGAUUAAUGACGAGAAUUAGUACCUCAACAACUGGAAUUUCAAUAUAGUUGAUUGUGUUUGCUUUGAUUAUGAGCUCAGAUACUUUGUCCUCUGGUGUGAACUCAUCAUCUUGCUCUCUUUUGAGGCCACCAUAUUGAACUGGGAGUUCUUCUGGUUCUAUGAACCUUUUUUUUCAUAAUCAUUUCCAUGCAAAGUAACUUGUGUAUUAGAGACACGGAUGAGAUACUAAUGUAAUUGGAUAGUUUCAAUUUUUUGAGUAGUAAUCUCACUCACUUGAGAAGGGUCUUUGUAACCUUUUGGGAUCUAGCAAAGAUGAACGUCUUCUUAGUUCUGUGACUUAGAAACCUUGAUCGGAGCACAUGAGACACAUAAUACCAAAGUGGAGCAUUGAUAACAAUCUGCCAGUGGAAAGCAAGAAAUUAACAUAUACCACAUUGUAAUUAGCAAGUGCAGAGUUUUGCUACUUACAUUCUUUUGAAUGAGCUCAGGAUAGUUGUCCUGUAACAAGAGCAGAGUUUUGCUACUAAGCGAACGAAGCUCCUUAAAAUCGGGGCCUGGGGAAUCCUUCAAAUCCGUAAUCUGAACCAUCGAAUCAACCCCUCUCUUGAAGUUGAGCUUCUUGAUUCCCUUUUCAAUGAAUUGAACUCUCCACCUCAAAAACUGUUGGCGUCUUGCUUCAGACCCGAAUGUUUUCUUGUACAAGUCUUUGUCCUUGAAAGGUCCAUACGAAGUGUAACACAAAGGGUGGCCAUCUUUGUCUCUACUAUUUAUGCACACCACGUCUUCAAGACCAGAGACUCCUAAAUCUUCUUCCAGAAUUUCAUCAGUCCUGAAUUCUUUUCGCCAUUUCAGGGUUCUUUUCAGCAUUUCAAAUGCGUCGCUGGUCUUGUAAUCCCGGGCUUUCAAGAAUUUGAGGAGCAAAACAUCAGUGCCUUGAUGGCCUUUGCUUGGCAACAAAGGCACACCCCAUAGGGUAAUCUCCUUGAGUUGUUCUUUCUGCCUCAAGCUUUCAUUUCGGCUAAUCCUUCUGCUGGGUUUUCCGAGAAUGUAAUUCCCCAUAAUUGCAUCUUCAACUCUGCACCGGAAUUCCAUCAAGGCUUUCCUCUUCUUCUUCUUCAUUGACGCAGAAGCAGCUUUGGUUUCCUCAUCAUCCUCUAUAGCUCUACGUUCAACAUCUUCUUCAUCACUAUCCGGACAUAAUUCCCGGGGGCUUUCCAAGAUGUAGUCAUUAGGCUGAUCAUAAUUUCCCAGAGGCGAGUCAAGCUCUUGCUCUCUGCCCUGGUAAUUAGCUUCAUUUUUCAUUUUGGGUCUCCUGAUCAUUCAUCUCCCAUUGUCAAAUAUAGAGGAGAUUGAAAUCCCCGGCAUUCAGAGUUUCCGGGGAAACUGAAUAUUGGUGGUGCUCGGAUUCAAUGAUGGGGAGUUGAGAACGACGAACACAAAAAGUUUACAUCUUUCCUUUCUCUAUUACCUCAAGCUCAAGAAAGGCCUGGCGCCAAAUUUAGGUUGGACAAUCGUAGUAACUAACGGUGAGAUUGGAACAGGCUUUUUUACAAGUGUUUUAAACUUUUAUCCCCAAUUCAUCGGGCUUGGCUGGCAUACAAUUAGUGGUUGUUGUAAAUAGAUUAGGUUCCAAAUGCAAGUCAAAUUUAGUAUUUGAGUUUCAACACUAAACCCUUAAUCCAACUCGUUGCCUAACAAUGUGCAAGAAUCACUGUCCAAGUCAAAAUUUUGCCUUGCUGGGAUAAGGGAUCUAAGAACAUCUCCAAAAAAGAGAUAGAAAAACACAAUUGUACAAAAGCAACACCAUGGAAACGGUGUUAUGUCGUAAAGGUGCAACAAGUUAUUCAAGUUAUUAGAUUUGCAAAGGUCACCAUCUGUCCUCAAAAAAGGUCACAAACUGAUCUCCACUGUCCUGGUAUGGGAGGCAUUGACAAUAGAAUGAGAAGAACGAAAGAAAAGGGGAACAACUUACAAGCUAAUACUAAACAGAUGGUUGCUGGAGAAAGAAAAGAGACAAUGGCUGAGAUUAAUCCUCUACAUUCUGGGAAGUUCGAUGCAUUAUCUUGUCCUCCUUGACUAAUUCACAACCUGUAGCAGUGAUUUUUACAUCCUAAUACAGCGAAACCUAACUGCUGAUUUCCAUGCCUAUGAAAAGAAUGUAACCUGAACGGCCGUUGAAAUCUUGUAAUCAUAUUUACAGUGAAAUGGGAUGUGAAAUGAUUGAUCUGUAUCUAUAUAACAAGUCAUUAUCCAACUGCAGACUGGGAGCUGCUGCAUUACUCCUCUCGAAAUCUAGUCAAGUCAAAUGACAUGGUUUUGGAACAACUGCAAUAACAGCAGCACAAUUAGCGCGUUAAGAAACUAUAAUAUAAAUCCUCAAGAUAUAACCAUGUGACGUGCUCAAAUUCUUGUCUGAUGCUCACCUCAUGUCAGCGUCCCUGAAAACCCCAACCAGAGCUUCAGCCUUGUCAUAGAAGCUAUCUUUUAGAGAUAUUACAAUACUCUGAAAACCAUUGCCUCCUUCCGUAUCCUGGUUAACCCUGGCUCCUUGGCAAGACUUUGAACGGAUGAAUCGAGCAACUUUUGCUACAUUUAAGUUAUCCAGUGCAGCAUCAACUUCAUCCAGUAUGAAGAAAGGCGAAGGCCUAUAGCUGAAGCAUUCAUGAAAACAAAUGUGGAAAAACAAUUAAUUACAGGCUCUUAUCUACAGUGUAAAAGAGUAGAAACCAAAAACUAGAACAAAACUUUCGUAGUGGAACAGCGUACAUAUUGGUGAAAGGAAGACCAAAAGCCAGAAACUCCACAAUCCCCACCCAAAAAUAUUCAUAACUAUUGAAGCAUGUGCUCUAUGUAUCUACUGCAAGGCCUACCCAGAAUCUUUUGUUCUUGGAUGUCUUUAAAGGUAAACACUAUAUAUGAUUAACAUAUACCUGUGUAUGGCAAACAGUAAUGCUAAUGCUGCAACAGUUUUCUCUCCGCCAGAUAAUUGUUCCAUAUCUCGAAAGCGCUUUGUUGGGGGCAUAGUAGUGUACUUGACGCCAUGUAGAUAUGGAUCAUCUUCAUUUUCUAAAUUCAAAUAUGCCGUCCCACCAAGUGGAUGUGUAUUGCUCUUCGUCAGUUGCUUGUAUAUCUUAUCAAUAUUACUAGAAAUAUGGUUGAAGGCAUCCAUAAACUUCUCAUACCUGCAUUGACCAAAUAAACCAUUACAAUCAAAUGUCAGGGAAAAAAUAGAAAUCAGUUGCGUAGUGGGCAUAUUUGUCACUUACGUGAUGAUUUCUUUCACUUUCUGUCGACAGUAAACAUUGACCAUUCCUAUUACUAGUUUCUAUCCAUAAAGUUUGUCUUACGAAACCCAAUAAUGUGCAAUCAUGUAUAGUCAACUACAUUAUGAUAAUUAGACAAUCCAGUAGCAGUGUAAAAGCAAUCAAUACCUGCUUUGCUUAACCGAGUUAAACAGAUCAGCCUUUUGCUUCUGUUCUUUUCUGGCCACUUCAAACUCUGCAGUUAUAUCUCUUUCCUUUUCUUGUAGAGCCUCAUAUUGGUCCAUGGCCUUCAAAUUGGGAGCUGUUCUUUCUAUUUCUGAUAGCUUGGCAUCCAUUUGUUUCUUAAAGUCUAACUCGACUUUCUCCCGCUCAGAAGGCCUCCUAUCUCUCAAUAGAGACUCAUCUAACUCAUCAAAAUCAAAUACUGGGCCCGUUGUGGAGGAGUCAGUCUCCAUUGGAUCUGAGAUGAUAGGAAGGCUUAUUUGCUGAAGUUCACAAUUUUCUACUAUCUCCUGCUUCCGAGAUGUUAGCUGCUCAAUCUGAGUUUCCUGUAAGGCACGAAAAAAAUGUUUAGGGAUUCAAAUUAACAUGGUACAGAAGUGUCGCAAACAAAACCAAAUGCCAACCUUAGAAUUUAUCUGUCGAUUAAGUUUGGAUACAUUUGUUGUAGCAGUAGAACCCCGCUUGUUCCAUUCUUGAAUUUCCUUUUCACACCCUUCCGACUUGGAUUUCCACUCUACAUUAAUAGUGAGAGAUACAACUUUAUGAACUAAAAAGAAAGGAUAAAGUGGGUUUGCGACUCGUUUGAACAACUUGGGAAAAAGACAGAAAAAGAACAACAACCAUGAGAUCAAGUCCCGCGCUCAAGGCCUAAAAUCUGAGAAUUUAAGUUCUCCAAAAAAAAUACAGUACCAUGCCGAACUUUUAUCAUACCUUGUGCAUCUUCCUUCAACUGCUCAAUCUCAGCAGAGGCUUUUUCAGCUGCAGAGUUGGCUUCAAAUUCUUUCUUUUGAACCCAUUCUAAAUCUUUUUGUAGAUUACUAAUAGAUGAUUGGAGUUCUUCAAUUCGUGUAGCCAUGUCCCGAUUUUGCUCAUACUCUAGCCUGAAAGCAAACAAAGACCAGUAUUUUACCAUAAAAUAUGAGCAAGUGCCAAAGCUGUCAUACAACAAGUACACCAGAAACAAUAGUGGUGAAACUGGGCAGAUUGUUUGGGUUUGAUAUUUGAGUACUUCAAUAGAACCUGUGGUCAAUCUAAAAAGUUAAAACAAAAUUUUCAAAGACUUUACAGCCCUACAAAGAACUUGUAACUGGACAGCGUCAAACAUCUCUCAUCUUUAGUGAUCACUGCUUUCUAAAAAAGUCGUGUGAUAAUAGACACGACAGCGUUCUUUAAAGAUGAUCAAGACACAUCAAAAAGAAUAUAUGGUGGGGAGCGAGGAAAACCAACUGACUAAUUGGCCCAAUACUUGUAGUUGGUUGUUUCCUCAGUCAAAGUACUUGUAGUUCAUCAGAAUGUUAAAGCACAAUUUGAAGAUGCAUAAAUGCAUGCACAUUCAUACAAUAGUGUGGGAAUCAAUGAUCAAGUUAUAUAUCACAUAAUUCAUGCAUGUGUCCAACAUAAUAUACACAACUCACAUUCCACUGUAUGCCCAAAAUAAAAUAAUUACCAACAUACAACAGUAAAAUUGACAAAAGAUAAAAUAUAGGGAAGAACAUACUGGUAUUUCAAUUUUGAUAGCUGGCUACUCAAACUAAGCCUCUCUUCAGCCAUAGAUUGGGAAACCUUGAGUUGUUUUUCUUCAUACUCACGAAUGUUAUCUACCCCAACAGAUUUACUAAAGCCUUUGUAGAGUCUGUCAACAAUAUCAUUUAUCCUCUUCUCAAGCUUAUUGAUUUCUGUGCUCCGCUUAUCUACAGCUUGUUUUAGCUGCAAUCAUUUUUAAAACUGCUGUGUGAAACAAAAUGCUAGAAUAAGCUAGAGAAAACAGUAAUCAGGGAAAUACCUUCAGAAGAUCAGGACUGAUACGAUCAAUCUCUUCUUUUAUGUUCUGCCUCUCCCGCGCCAAAUUUGCAAGUUUGUCCUUGAUGCUUUUCUGUGAAAAAACUCAUCUUAGUUUUGAAUCCACUAGAAGGAACCUCAUGUUUAGCUUAAUUAAGAUAUAUCAAAGUAAAAGACUGAAAAACUAUUCACCCACCCUCCCACACCCAAAGCACAAAGGAAAAACUAAAAUAGAAUAAAUAGCAUUCAUCUCCACUUUAUAAUUAAAAGACCAAUACCAACCCUUCCCAUCAAGUCUAAUUCAUCUUAUUUGAUAAACCACACACAAGUGACACAACCAGACAUAAAACAGCUUCAAAGUUCAACCUGCAUCUUCUAGAUUUGGUGUCUGGGUAUGGAUAUAAAACUACCUUACCUGUAGAAUAGGAGUGAAAAAAAAAAGAUACAAGUAAAUCCUUGCAAUUACCUUCUCAAUAUCUGCAUAUUGGAUUUUCUUAUCAAGCCCACUAAGUCUGCCAGCUGUUUCAGACUCUUUUAGCUGCAUCUCUCUAAUUGACCCAAGCUCUUCUAGCUCCAACUCAAACUGUUCUUUCUUCUUCUUCAGUCCUAAACAACAAACAGUUAAACCACAUCAAAAAUUACCAGACCAAAAUUCAAAUGACAAUACAGCAAUUCAAAACUCACCUUCGACUUUUUUAUCAUCCCACUGUUUUGACCUAGCUUCCAUUCCUCCACUGGUACCACCAGUCAUUGUGCCAGAUUUUGACAGCAUAAUUCCAUCAACAGUUACAACUAAUUAAAGGGGGAAAGAGAAAAAAAGUUAGAUGCUGGCUAAAUAAAAACAUGCCUGACACAGAUACUUAACGAUAACAAAGUUGAACGCAUUACCUUUGAACCUCUCACCACUCCAGCUUAGGCGCUUAGCCUCAUCAAGUUCGUCACAAACGAGAGUAUUGCCAACCGCAAAGAGAAUAGCCUUCUCCAAGGCAUGAUCAAAUGUAUGGUUGUUAAGUAGACAAACUAAUAGCACCUCUUCGUAGAUUCUCAUGCAGAAAAUAGUUUUCUUACAAACAGAAAAACAUACAAGGAAUACAGGCAACAUACAUCAAGGACAGUACAUAGCAUAGUGAUCAGGAGGAUGAUCUAAAACAAUAGCUAACCACGAAAUGAUGAAGGUGUGAGCGUGCUUCUAUGCAUUAACAUGUUCCAUCUAAAUAAAUGCAGAGACGAUACUAAUCUGGAUGAUUAUACUCAAACUCUUUGUGGGAGAAAGCCAGAGGAAUGAUGAGUUACAUGAAGAAAACUUGUGCCAUAAAUGGAAGAAAAGAAUGAGAACAGAAAAUCAUCCAAGUUGAAAGGGAAAAGAAUUAAAUAAUUUUUUUUAAAAAAAUCAACAAGAAUAAAACACAUAAUGGGAUCCUAAUGCAAGUCUAUAAUAGAACACAAGUUGUUCAAUUUUUUUAGUUAUUUAAAAGUUCCAUAAUUUCUUCUAGAAAAAUAUAUGUUUUCGAUAACCAGAGUUCCACUACCCAAAAACAAUAAUGCACCAGAAAUUAGCAGCACUAACCGGCCCAGAUCAAAGAUACUCUCUUACUGCAUAUGAUGGAAAACAUGAAAAUGUAAUACAACAUAUAUAUACACACACAAAAAUAUAUGUAGUUAUGUAUAUAGAUCAAUCACACAUAACAUCUCUGCCUAUUUCUAUGCAUACAAAUAAAGAGCUAUACAAUGUGCACUACACACAUCCUUUUCACACAGACAUGCAUGCAUGCAGACAAACACCAACAAGAUUACACAAAAAUGUAAAUCUUCAACUACAGAGUUCGGAACAAACAAAAGUUUGGACACUAAACCAAUGUAGGCUUUUGUAGAAGCAAAUAUCAAGAAAAUAACACAUAGAUUUUAUUUGAUCUCUACUGUACCGUAAGAUGAUAACCAUGACAAAGAAUUAUUGAAUUUUUGCUCUCAAGAAAGCAUGAUGAAAGGAUAUUGAACAACAUCAAAAACCAGCUUUGCAGUACCACCCAAGUUACGCAGUCUCUCCAUUACUUGCUUUACACGAACAGAUUGGAGAGGUAUGAAUGUCUGAGGAGGAAGCCUUUGUUCUUUCAAAUACUGCAGAAAUGCAAGGAUCAGUAUCAGAACCGCAUUCACAUGAAUGAUAUAAUAUUCAAACUUUGUCAACAUAUAUUUCACAUUGGUACCCCAAGUAAUCAAUAAAACUGUCCGUAUCAUUAGAUAUUUCAAUAUUCAAACACACAAAAAACCAACAGACUCAAACAGGAUAAGAGAAAGAAAAAAAAUUAAAUCUCUUGAUUUUCCUAUAAUCUAUUUUCUUUAUUUUUAUUCUGAUUGCCUUGCAACUACUGUGAUGUGAAUAAUCAUUAUAAAAAUUGAGAAUUUAAAAUCUUAAUUUUACCAAUGAAAUAAGGAAGGCAAUCUUAACAAGCUAGUGUAAGCAUUCUACAAGAGCGAAAAGAUGAGAACAUAUAUCACCUUGAUACACUCCUUUCCUGUUUGUUCAUCUUCAACUACGACUGCAUCCAUAAAUUUUCCCAUGGCAACAGUGACAGCAAGAUUAUACUUCUUUUGUGUUGGCCUACAGAGUUCAGUCAUGCGACCAUGGACACCCUGAAACAAGCGCUUGAGAGUCUCUACUGCCUGAGACAACCUGGAAUCCCUCUCAUUCUCAUAUCUAUCGGCCUUCAGUUCACGUAAUUGCUUCUCUAAUUCAUCAAUUUUUGACUUCAAAUUUUCAUACUUCUGUCUGUAUAUCCAUAAAAAGGAUAAUAGUAAACAUACAAAUCAUCACAUUUUGCUAGUGUCUUGUAAAAUAAGUAAAUAACAACCUAAAGAAGAGAAAAGAAUGGAGAAAUUUAAUCAAAUGAAUAAAGGGGAAUGAGAAGCACCAGGCAACACAUGCCAAAACCUUAGCAGAACGUAUGAAUGACUCUUAAAAAGCAUAAAUUUAAAAAAUAAAAAUAAAAAAAAGCAAGCAUACAAGCAAGUUGAAUAACCUGGCAUUCUGAUGUUUAUCCUUCAUCACAAGCAAUUCAUUAUUCAGACUUUUUACUUCCUCUCUGUGUUUUGCAGAGUUAUCUUUAAUGUUUUUCAGCCUUGUCAGCAUUUGCUUAUUCUGUGAAUCCAGUUCACUCUCCCUACUUCUCAACUGUUCAAGAUUUUCUUCCAAAUUCUUUUGAGCUUCAAGAUCAGCAUGCUGUUGCCGAUCCAGAACCUCUUUCUCAUCUGUUAGCUUCGCAGUUUUCAUCCCAGCAUCCUCCUUCCUGUGACAUCAGCAUACCAUUAAUAUUUACAAAGCCUAUCAAGGAGAGCCUCUAAAUCCUAAGUUAUAUGGUCCAGUGAAGGUAAUUUAGAAAGUUCAUGAAGAUCGAAAGGUAGGCAGGAAACUGACUUCAAUUCUCAGCUCAAAAUUGAAAAGUAACAUGGCUUUUGGUUAAAGAAACAGAACUUCAUCUUUAAAACGUAAGGAAUGGGACACUAUCAUCACACUGAGAUGCAGUAAUAAAAUUAAACAGAGAUUACCAAACACUUACACUUUAAAAUAUUCCCUCAAUUUAGUAUCGUCUAACUGUAAUUUUUCACCACCGUCUCGUCCUUUUUCAUGUAAAUCCUCUAGUUGAGUGGUCAAAUCUUGGAUGCCCUUCUGCAGCUUUUUAAUUUCCUCUUUAUGUCUCUCCCUUUCUUUUUCUUUCUUACCAAGCUCAGUCUUACUUUUCUUGAUUUUUGAAUUUAUACGAGACAUUUCCUCUUUCAGUUUCAGCAGCUCUGGUUUCUACAAAUACGAAACCACAUCAAACAAUUCACUGUAUGUCCUCUUGAUCAAGCAUAAGAUCAAUUAUAUUUACAGAAAAGUAAAGGCCAUUUAUUUUAGAACGUCAGCAAAACUAGCAAUAUAACGGAAAAAAAUUCACAAGGACCCGUUCAUUCACCCACAGCAGCUAUACGAGACAGUCAGAUACUCUUAUAUUAUAUAUGUAGGUUGAACGAACACGGUUUCGCUAUAAUAAGUAAAAAUGUAAAGAUUUAUGUUAUAACUUCUCUUAAGCCUCGGUCAUUUGAGGGUCUAACGGAGACCAACUCAGUAACAAAAAAGCAAAAUGAAACUCAUGGUAUUGGACACAACUAUCAAUGAAAUUUCAAUCUUCUGUCCAAGGCAAAGAAACUCACGCUUUUGUCGAGUUUAUUACUUCUCUCGGCAAUCUUCUUCUCACAUUGGGCAAUCUCUUUUAAGUACUUGUUGAGUUCUUUCUUCUUUUUGGUUGCUUCUUGCUGAAAAUCAUCUAGUUCUUGCAUAACCUGUUCACGGUUUCUCUUUUCAGCUUCAAGCUCAUUAGUCGUUUUUGUUAUAUCUCUUUCUAUGUUGAACAACUGCCACAAAAAAUGUUCUCUCUUCAAAGAUUUCUGCAAGAAAGAAUACAUGUGAUUUUAGUAUUACACAGAAUCAAAGUUCUUAAGCAGAAGAUUCAAAGACAGGAGCAUACACCUAUUGAGCAUGUAAAAGAAACAAAACGUCAAUACCAAAAUAGUCUACAGGGAUAAGAGUUUGAUAUAUUAAAGACAGAUCCUAUAUUAGAUUUAAUCUACAUGUGUGAAUGCACACAACCAUGUGGAUGCAAGAUUCAUAGUGUGUGCGUAUUUGCGUGUGUGCGUGCAAAAGAGAUAAAAGGGAAAUGCAAUAUGCGAGACCCUCUUUCCUGAAAGUGAGUUCCUAGUAUCUACAAUAUCUUUUAAAGUUACAUGAUAUCUUUCAUGCAGGCACUUGUACAAUUAAUUACAUAAUUUCACCCAACACGGAUAAUUGAAACAAGCAGGAUAGACAUACGAACAACCCCGAUAAACAUAAUAUACAACAUAUGCAUAUUAUUGUGUGCAUAUAGACAUAUGUAACCAUUAACCAGUAAGCACGGACCAAGUAUGUGUAUAAAUAUAUAUACACACACACACAGCAAGUACGUGUAUAUGUAUGUAAAUAGAAAAAGAACGUUGAGGUACAAACCAGUUCAUUUUGCAGGCGAAUAUGCUUCUCAGCUUCUUCCUUUUGCUCUUUCUUUUGCUUCCUCUCCGCUACUAUGGUCCUCUUUUUCUGAUAAACAAGUGCUGCUUUUUCUUCAGCUAUGCCUUUCUCUUCUUCGUACUUUUCAUAGUCUCUCUUGAAGUCAUCUGACCCUGAGAUCUGCUCAAGCAGUGCAGUGAGUUCCUUAGGAUUUUUAGAGGCAAUGGACUCCACAUCACCCUACGGAGAAAGAAAUAAUCAGUAAUUAAAAGUGACCCGGUUACUGCCAAGAUAUGCAAACAUCAAAGUCACCAUAAAAGCAGCAGUCAUCUAUUUGUCUAUGAAAAAUAAUGCAAAUGAGUAGAGAUUGCACGGUUAGCAACUUCUGUGAAUUCUCGUUUUUUCCCUUUUAAUUUUGGUUUGGAUGAACAUGUUUCCAAAUUUAAUAAAGAUGUUCCAACGCGUCACUACACCGGAGUGCCCAAAUAAGAGUACACAGAGCCUGAAUUCAACAAUGGGUGGCAAGACAUUUACGUUACCUAACCCAACACCUUCAACUUCGCAAACGAAAUGUGCAAUUGGCGUCAGAGACAUUUUCGAUAUUCAAUAAUUAACUAACGCAAGGUGUGGCCAAUAAAUGUCAUUGAUGUACCUUCUCAUUCUAUUCUCAUUCAAAACCUCUGCUUCUUAGCAAACAUACUCCCUAAAGCAUAAUCAAUGAAAACAAUUCGACAUAGAAAAGCUAAAUUACGAGUAUCAAGUAAUCGAAAUCAACCUGAAAAACAAGAAAAUUGCGGGCCUUGACCAGAAUUCCCAACGACUUAAGCUUCUCAGUAUAAGUAUCCGCCGUCACCGACCUGCCGUCGAUGCGGUACUCACUGCCGCCGGAGCUAGUGAUGGCCCUGGUGAACUGGAUCUCGGACUCAUUGGCAAGCUGAUAAACCAAGGUCACGAACGCCCGGCGUCCCUUCUCGGUCUUCUCGCUGUCGUCCAUGGCGUAGAUCAGGUCCUUGAGCUGGGACCCACGGAGCUGGCCGGUCUUGACGCCGAGGACGAAGCUGAUGGCGUCCAUGAGGUUGGACUUGCCGGAGCCGUUCGGGCCGAUUAUGGCGGUGAAGUCGGAGAAGGGGCCGAUGACCUGGUGGCCGCGGUAGGACUUGAAAUUCUCGAGCUCGAGGCGGUGGAUUUUGCCCUGGGAGAUGAAGGACGGCAUGGCUUAGGGUUUCGGGGAGUUUGAAUCGAAGCUAGGGUUUGGGGAGGAGGUGGAAUUGAGCGGAGUAAAGGAGAGAGGAGAUGAGGGGAGGGGUGGCCGGAGAGAUGAGGAGGGGAGGUUUCCGGCGAGAGGGGAGGGAGGAGUGGAGGCGGAGAGGAGGGGAUUGGGGAUUUUGAGGUGGGAAUUGGCGGGAGAUUGGGGGAGUUUUGGGGAAUUUUAGGGAGGGUUGGUGAUUUGAGUUGCCAUUUUCGAAGUGAGAAAAAGUAGGAGACCGCAAAGAGUGAGCGCUUUAGUAGAGAGUCGAAACGUUUCGCUUUGGGCAAGAGAAUGCUAUUAUUUUUAUUUGCAGUUUAGUCCUUAAGGUUUUCUUUAUUUUCGUUUUGGCCGCUAGUUGGGUCAAGAUUUUACUUUUUUCUUCUUGUCUGAAUUCAAUAUGUGGAAAUUCAGUAGUUAGUUUCUUACCUUUCUGACUUUAAUCUUGUUUGAUCAAAACAAAAAACAAGCUCUUAUGAACUUUCAAUAGUCUCAUAAUAAUGUGUAUCAAUGAAGAAUGAAUCUAAAAAGGGGAUCAAUAGCUACUUAAAUUAUUGUUAAGAUUAUAUGAUAUGAUGUUAGAUUAUAGAAUCAUAUCACAAUAAAAAAUUGUAAUUUAAUAUUACUUGGAGAAUCAAUAUAUAAUCUUAAUUUUAGCGUAGAUGGUUAUUGUCUUUAUUGAUCCACCCAAAUCGAGAUCUAGAAAGAUGAAUGUCAAGGAGCUUUGGGGGGAAACUGGAAAGUAGGGGAUUGGCGGGAGAUGAAAUUUGUAAACUGCAGAAUAAAACUGCGAUAAUAUAAAAUUAUGAAGAAUGGGCUUUUCUAUUCAAAAAAAAAAAUUAUGAAGAAAAAAAUUACCAUGGUCAAUUGACUUUCCUAACAAAAAACAUCACAAAAAAGGUGCAACCAAGGCAAAGGCUAUGAAUAGGGAACAAAUCAAGUUGUCAUUCUACUUUCAUAAUGACAGUACGUCUUUAUAUCGUUGCGGUACGGUUCUUGCACUCGGGAAUUUCCAACAAGGAAAGCGAAGAGAAACCGGCAUAUAAGUGAGGAGAGAAUCCAGAACAUAUACUACACCAGAGAACGGUACAUAGACAUGUCAAGUAAGGCAAAGAAACUACUCAUCUGAAAAUGAAAAACAGAAAAAGACAGUAGCAAGAUGCACAUACAUAAAAAGAGUUUAGCAGAAGGGGCUUAUAGAAUGGAGACAGCUUCCACAAAAUAGUUUUGCCCCCACCUGAAGUCCACAUUCCAUGCUUAAAAAGUACCGAGUAUGAUUACAGAAUGGUUAAUUACUCUGAACAACAAUCAAAGAAAGAGACUCCUAAUGGACAAGGAUAUCCUGCUAGUAAGAAGUCAUCUGGAUGGAUGAAGCUUCAUCAAUGACCAACUUUUUCACUGCUAGACGAAGUGCCGUCUUGUACAGAAUCCGCUAUUUUGGUUUCACUAGGAGUUCCCACAGGCGCAGAUGGGAUGACUUCAGAAUAAAUGGAAUAUUCAGGCAGUAUACCGCCACGGUUUUGGAUGUCAUCUAAAUCCUCACGCUCAGGGGGGUUUGAGUUUCCUGGCAGUUCUCCAUGAUUUUGAGCCGGCACUUCUGGCACCUCAGGUCUGGUGGCAUCCGGAUUUUCAAGCUGUUGGCCUCCAGAGUUUUGGGAAGCUUCCAACUCCUCAUACUUGGAAAUAACUUGUUGAAGUUCUUCAUGAAGAUAUAGAGCCUCAAAGAGCAUACUUUCAUCAUCAGUAGUGGUUUCUAUAAUCCUCUGAAUAACAGGCUGAGACUCCUUGCACUUUUCCAGCAUGUUCAUCGUUAGUUCUUCCUGCAAUCAAGCAAGCAUUUCCACCAAGUUACAUAUCAUCUUCCGCUCACAAGUUGAUCUUUGGAUUAGGUAAAAUAUGGAAAAAUAAUCGUAGGAAAGGUCAAAUACUAUCUAGAAGAAUUAUUAUCAUGCAAUAUAUAAUCAUAUAGGAUAACAGCGUACAGGCAAACCUAGCCAUAGAAGAAUUACAACCGCUCUCCCUUACGGUCUGUGCUCAUAGUCAUAAUGCACGGAACAUGAAAAUUCUUCAACCUGCCCUAUAUUAUUUCUAUCUUCCUUUUAUAUACAAGGGAUAUGUAUUCUUCAAUAAUAUUUUAUAAAAGUAUUUUGAAUAUCCGGAUGCUUUAGAAUAGAAAUUUGUCAGUGAUAAGGAAGCAAAGCACUUAGUUCUAUCUCAGUAUUGAUUCCAGAGAAAUUUACACACACACACACACACACAUAUAUAUAUAUAGGAAUUAGUAUUGAUUUCCACAGAGAAGUCAGAAACACACCUUCAAAGGUUUCGGAUCUGUUUCACUAUUCAAAAUACUAGACAGCAACUCCAGGCUAUUGCGAGCUACAACAAGACAUUCUUUUUUUUCCUCGACUGAUAGGUAGUUAUAGCGAAAUUCACGGUCACUUGCAUCAUGAAAUCCUGUGACUGGUACAGGGUAUCUUUCCGGGGGAGGCAUAGGCUCUUCCAUGUAUGAUUCCAAGGUAGAUUGCAACGAGGGCGAAGUCCCUUCUGGUGCCACUGGACGUGCUCCUCUUUCUCUCAAUGUCUGUAUAACACCCAGAGAUAUAAUAAGGACAUCAAAUAUUACUUCAAUGGAUGAAAACCAAGAUUACUACAAGAAGAAAAUUCCAUGGUCCACAGAAGACAGGCCAGAAA
rnacentral:lncRNA from 1 species